GAGACUCACUUUUAUUUCUUUAAAAGAUUCUUGUUACAACACAGAUUCUAUAAAAAUUGAAUUACAAUAAUUCACUUGAGCACUCUUGCCCCUUGUGCACCAAUGCACUCCUUAAGCACCUAUGCUUCUUUGAACCUAUUUGUAAACAAACCUUAAUCCACCUGGAUUAAAUUCCCUUAGACAACACUAAGUCAAAAAAAAACAAAUUUAAUAUUACAAUGAUAGAGGUCUAAUGAUCAAAGCAAAUAAGCAAUUUAACAAUGCAAGGCUCAACUAGUGAAUGCAAUGAUCAAGUAGUAAGAAAGAGAUAUCACCAAAAUUAAGCUCACGUAAAUAGCUGAUAAAUAAUCUGAGUAUAAUCGCACAACAGCUGGGAAUAUUGCACCAAGAAUAAUGAAUUAGCUUUUCAAGUAUAUGAGUGCAAUAAUUAAUUCAAGUGAUGUAAGUGUUGUGUUUUCUACUGAAAAUAAUUCUUCUUUUUAUAGCCCAAUUUAUAUAUUACCGUUGCUAAAAGAUAUUAACGUUGUAAAAGAAAAAUACAACGGUCCAAUGAUUUUUCUGUUGAAAACAAAUGUAACAAAUAAUCUUUGGAUAAAUGUUGGACUCUCUCAAAAAUAAUCUAGAUAGAGACCAAGUCAAAUAGGACUAGACCUGUAGCAAUUAUGAUUCAAGAUAGAGUUUAAAUCAGACAACAAUAGUAGCUCAAAACUAUUUUCCAUAAAGUCUGCAGCCAUCACCUAUCAUGAUAGUAACAGAACAAAUUCCAACUUUUCAAAGAUAAUCAUGAUUUCCCAUUUUCAAGGAAUAAGCUAAACACUCUACCGUCAUAUACAAUUUAUCACUAACAGAUAAUGACAAUUUCUUUAAAUGGCAUAAACAACUUUUCAGUUAUCAAUACAUGAAUUAUCUAUAUGUAACACUUAAUUAAUUAAUUCGGUCAGGACUCUUACGCAUGCAUGCAAAAUCAUUUCUCUUAGCAGAUAGUAAUGAAUAACAUAUUUUUAGACAUGCACAAGAUCAUAUUUAAUGCACACAUAAAAUGUCCUAGAGCCUUGAAUUGAAAAAUUAGAUAUUUGCAAUGACCUUACAUAUUUUUCUUAGGACUCAAAACAUCUUCAAUCUUCUUGAAUAAUCCAACACAUACGUCUUGAGAUAGAUUCCUGAAAUCCACAAUUCACAAUUUAGUACCGACGAGUAAAUCAUCAUCAAAACAUUUAGGCUAGAAUGUGAAUUAAUCAACAUUCUCCCCCUUUUUGAUGAUGACAACAUAUAUAAAUGAAACUCCCCCUAAAUUCAUGCACAUUUCAGGAGAAGUUUGUAACACCUGCAUGUUAGUAUCAUACUAAACCAAAUAUGAAAGCUAAAACCAUCAAUUCUUAAAAUGCCUGCAACAAAAUUAGUUUUAAAAAUGCUGCAGAAAAAUUUAUCAACAUUCUUAACAUCUAGGCAACCAUGCCUAUCAAAACCAAAUCAAACCCAUAGUCUUUAAAGCAAAAUUUUAAAAUAGAAUCACAGAAUCUGACAUUUUCUCCCCCUUUGGCAUCAUGCAAAAAGAGAAGUCUCUAAUCAAUAUCUUCGAGAUUGGCCCUCUGUUCUGCACGAUUGGUAAAGUAUGGUCGAUGACGAAGACGAUGUAAUCGCUCUUCCAAGGUGUAAUCAUUGGCAAGUCGAGGUGGUCUAGGAAUAAAGUUUGCAGGAGGAAGUUUCAUAUCCAGAAAGUCACCCUUGUAUUCAGCCAUCCAAUUGUUCAUUGGCCAUUCAGGAAUUGAAGAAUACAUUGCUGGAACAUGAAACCUUUGGCCUAUAUCAUUGAACCUAGUGGCCAUAAAAUCUGUAAGCUCCCCGAGUUGAUAACUGACAAACUUCACCUCUUGACUUAACUGACAUGUGUUCCGAUUAAUUUUUCAUUAGAGUGCUUCAACCAUGGCCAUCGUCUGAAUCUCAAAACCCGCCUGAAGAUCAAUAAAUUCAUCUUUAACCCGAUGAUAUAAUUUAUUUAUCUCAGGGGCAUCCAUUGGUAACUUCCCUUUCUCAAGACAAACAAGACGAUUUCUGAUUUCCACCAACUCAUCUUUCAAAGAAGUUUGAUUUUGUAAAAUUUCUGUGAAAACAGUCAUAACAUCAUAUCCAUUGGAAUUUGGCAAAGAAGAAGAUGAUUCAGGAGUAUGAGAAAUAGGAGGAGGAGGAGGAGGAGUAGGAGGAUAAGGUAGAAGACGUACAAAUUCGCCAGCAUGAAAAGUGAUGUGAGAUUUUGUCAAAUUUGCAGUGUCAAUAAGCUCAUGAUUUGUAACAGAAAUUUCAUCAUCAAAAGAGAUCUUAAAGUGUUGAAAAAGUUUUGUUAGAAAUUUACUGUAAGGAAGACAUUUCUUGCUUUGACGAAUGCAACUUUGCAUGUGAGAUAACAUCAUUUGUGAAAAAUUAAAAACCGUCCCUUUGAGAAUCAUAGCUACAACAACCAAAUCUUGAUAAGUAAAAUCAGCUCCCCCACCAUGGCGUGGAAACAGAUUAUACCGAACCAACUUAUGUAAUACACAUGCAUUAGGACAGACACUGACAGUUUCUGGAAGAAACAGAGAUGAAAUAGAAUAGUCAUUCAUGACUGUAUGAAGUUGUUCUAAAGGAUGAAAAGGAAUGUUAGCAGCUCCUUUGAGAGUGAAAGGACAUGGUCCAGUAGAAGAAAUACCAAGAAUACUUCCAAAAUCAAUACUGGUAAAAAAUAAAGACUUACCCUUGACAAAUGUGGUAAAACAGUCUCCAUUACACUCAAGAUUGGUGUAAAAUUGUUGGACUAACCGAGGAUAGGCAACAGCAGGAGGAAACAACAUAGAAAAAAUGUUGCACUCGGUGAAAAGUUUUUCCAAAACAGAGUGUUUGAGAUAGAAAAGAUCCAAAGUUUUUUCAUACACAAAUUGUUUUGUAGCAAUGGAGUUUUUAAAACGUGUUUCGAAACUAGGACCUCUAAAGAAAUUAUCUUGCAAAUCAAAAGAGGAUGAAAACGGAUUUACCAGAUUCGAUGGAGAUUCUGGCUGUGAGAAAAAUUGUUCGUCAUCCACUGAUUGUUUUAUCUUUUCCUUGUGAGAAGGUUCAACGUCUGAAGUUUUUAGAAAAGAAAAACUAAAAUCCGAGUCAUCGAAUAUUAGUGUAGCAUCGGAUAACUCAUGAACAGAGGAUUUCUUCUGUACUCGUUUAAAUUUCACUUUUGUUCCCGUAGGAUGCUUCAGCGACGAUCCAUCUUUGUUUGAUUUCCCAAACGAUCGAUUGCUAGCUCUGGUUUUCAUGGUGUAAUGGAUGUUGUAAGAGUGAAAUAGAAGGUUGUGGAUGAAAGCAUAAGAUCUGAAUAAGAAUGAAAGCUGAAGAUAUAAGAUAAAAGUUAAUCAAAAGUCCAUCACCGAAAAGCAUGCGUCUUUUCAAUUUUCGAAAGAAAACUGUUUGGCUGAUGUACCAAGUUUCAAGGUAGAGGUCUUUUCGUCUCCCACUUAACUGAUAUCCGGCGAUAAAUAUAAUCAUUAAUAAACGCGUGUAUCUUAGAAUAUCAUUUAAACAGAUAAGGAAAGACGAAAUUAAUUUGAACUCUGUCACCGAAAGAAAUGAGUCUUUUCAUCUUUCAAAAACUCUGUUAGGCUACUGUUCCGUCUCUCAAGGCGUAUUCCUUUACUUUUCCCAAUGACAUCCGGCGAUUUUAAUGGAAACAUUUAUCUAGAACAUAAUUUGAGCAGAUAAGGAAUAUCAAACAGAUAUAUAUAUGUUAUCAGAUAUCAUGCAGAAAAUAAAUAUAAUCUGCAUGUCAUAAAAUUUUAAGCACGUAAAAACACAAUUAUAUCAUGCACAUACCAAGUUCUCUCCUUAGCAUACAAAAUAUGUCUUCACUCAAGGGUUUAGUAAAAAUAUCAGCUAAUUGUUUUUCGGUAGGAAUAAAAACCAAUUUGACUAACCCUUUUGAAACAUUAUCCCUUCAAAAAUGAUGUCUUACCUCUAUAUGUUUUGUACGUGAAUGCAAAAUAGGAUUCUUUGAUAUGUCAAUAGCACUAGAAUUAUCACAAUAUAUAGGCACAUUAUUGCAGAUAAUGUCAAAAUCACAUAGAGUUUGUUUCAUCUAUAAUAUUUGAGAGCAACAACUCCCUACAGCUAAAUAUUCACCCUCAUUAGUUGAUAAAGCAACUGAAGUUUGCUUUUUACUAUGCCACGAAACAAGACUUUGUCCCAAAAAUGUACAAGCACCACUUGUACUUUUUCUAUCAACUUGAAACCCUGCAUAGUCAGCAUCUGAAUAACCUAUUAGUUCAAAAUGAUUACUUAUUGGAUAAAAUAAACCUAAAUUUAUAGUACCACUUAAAUAUUUAAAAAUUCUUUUAACUGCUUGUAAAUGGGAUUCUUUGGGUUUUGCUUGAAAUCGAGCACAAAGACAUACACUGUACAUUAUGUCAGGUCUAGAUGCAGUUAAAUAUAGUAAAGAACCGAUCAUACCUCAAUAUUUUGUUAACUCUACAUCUAUACCUUUAUCAUCUGAAGUGAGCUAUAUUGAAGUGCUCAUUGGUGUAGCUUUUGGAUUGGUUUCUUCAAAACCAAAUCUUUUAAGAAGCUCUUUUGUGUAUUUGGUUUGAUGAAUAUAGAUCCCUUCCUUUGUUUGCCUGAUUUGAAGUCCCAAAAAGUAAUUUAGCUCUCCCAUUAAGCUCAUAUCAAAUUCCUUAUGCAUACAUUUUGAAAACCACUCACAGAGAAAAUCAUUAGUAGUACCAAAUAUUAUAUCAUCUACAUAUAUUUGAACAAUGAUUAUUUCUUGUUUUUCAUGCUUAAUAAAUAAUGUAGAAUCUAUUUUACCUCUAGUAAAACCACUUGAAAGAAGAUACUUACUCAACCUCUCGUACCAAGCCCUGGGAGCUUGUUUGACACCAUAGAGAGCUUUCUUUAGCUUAAAAACAUGACUUGGAUAUUUCUCAUGUUCGAAUCCAGAAGGCUGCUUGACAUAUACUUCUUCAUUGAUGUAUCCAUUGAGAAACGCACUCUUUACAUCCAUUUGAUAAAGCUUGAAUUUCUUGUAACAAGCAAAUGCUAACAAGAUACGGAUAGACUCUAGUCUUGUGACUGGAGCAUAAGUUUCUUCGUAGUCGAUCCCCUCUUGUUGAUUGUAUCCUUGAGCCAUUAGCCUUACUUUGUUUCGAGUGAUUUCCCAUGCUCAUCAAGCUUGUUUUUGAACACCCAUUUUGUUCCAAUGACGGAACUAUCUUUAGGAGGAGGCAUUAAUUCCCAAACUUGACAUCGUUCAAAUUGUUGAAGUUCCUCUUGCAUUGCCAUGAGCCAAUUUUCAUCAAGUAUAGCUUCUUUAGCAUUCUUUGGCUCAACUUGUGAUAGAAAUGCAGAGAAUGUGCAUUGAUUUUGUAGAUUUCUUCGUUUAGUAACUCCUUUGUUUAUAUCUCCAAUAAUAUUUUCCGGUAGAUGAUCCUUGAGAUACUUUGUUGUCUUUGGCAAUUGAACAUCGUGUAUUACCUCUUCUUGUUGAGGAAAAUUCUCUUCAAGAUCUUGUGUUGCAUCAUGUUCAUUUUUAUGUGGACUGUUCAAUCCAGCCUGUUGAGCUUGUCCAUUUGGUCUACUGAAUGGUUCUUUUCGGUUUACUGAAUUUGUGAAAAUCUCCAAAUUUCCUGCAUCCUCUUCUCUUUCUUUUGGAAGAUCAUUGUUAGUCUCAUUUAAAGUUAUAUGAAUUGAUUCUUCAACACAUAAUUUGUAAAUAUUAAAAACACGAUAUGUUUUGCUGUUUUGAGAAUAACCAAUGAAAAUACCUUCAUAAGAUUUGGCAUCAAAUUUUCCCAAGUUAUCACUAGUAUUUAAUAUAUAACAUUUAGAUCCGAAUACUUUGAAAUAACUUAUAUUAGGAAUUUUAUUAUUCAAAAGUUCAUAAGGAGUUUUCAAAAUAAUUGGACGAAUGAGUACUCUAUUUAAAACAUAACAUGAUGUGCUUACCGCCUCGGCCCAAAAUUUCUUUGGAAGCUUACUCUCUUGCAGCAAUGUUCUAGCAGUUUCUUGUAAUGUUCUAUUCUUCCUUUCCACUACUCCAUUCUGCUGAGGAGUUCUUGGAGCUGAAAACUCAUGGCUUAUUCCUUUUUGAUCACAAAAUAUUAUAAAAUCCUUUUGAAAUUCUGUAACAUGAUCACUUCGAAUUUUUAUAAGUGUGAGACUAUACUUAGUCUCUAAAUUUCUUAUCAACUUGUCAAACUCUUUAAAAGCUUCAUCUUUGGUUCUCAAAAAUAAGACCCAUGUAUAUCUAGAGAAAUCAUCAACUAUUACAAAUGCAUAAAACUUACCAUUAAUACUAGCAUGCCUUUCUGGGCCAAAUAAAUCAAGAUGAAGUAAUUGUAAAGGAGUGGAGGUUGAUACCAUAUUCUUUGCACUGAAUGAUGUUCUUACUUGUUUUCCGAGUUGGCAAGGAACACAUACUCCUUUCUUUUCGAAUUUUAUCUUUGGCAAUCCUUUGACCAGGUUUUUAGAGGACAAUUUCUUGAUUAAAUCCAUGUGAACGUGUCCCAUCCUUUUAUGCCAUAGAUUAGCCUCAUCUUGCACCGAGGCAAGACAUAAUUCUUCAUCCUGUUCCUCAAAGUCAAUAGUAUAUAUAUUUCCUUCCCUUUGUGCAACUAGAGAAACAUUGUUAGUACCAUGAGAAAUAAUGCAUUUUUCUUUAUCAAAACUAACUUGAUGUCCACUGUCCAUUAAUUGAAUUAUACUAAUAAGAUUAAACUCAAGACCAUUAACAAGAUGGACAUUAUCGAUGUUAACCUUACCAUUACCAAUUUUACCUUUUCCAACAAUCUCACAAGUUUGAUUGUCUUCGAAAGUGACCGUUCCAUUUUUCUUCUUGAUUUUUAGCUCCACGAACUUUGAUUUGUCGCCGGUCAUGUGACGGGAGCACCCACUAUCAAGAAUCCACUUUUGAGAAGGAACCCUAGCCUUGAGACAUACCUGUCAAGAAAAAUAUUUCAUCCUUUUGGUACCCACAUCUUUUUGGGUCCUUUAAUGUUAGUUGCAAGUAAAUCAUUCUUUUUAACCCAUACCUUUUUAACCUUAUUUUUCUUAAAACAAUUUAUGUCCAAGUGACCUUUAAUACCACAGUUUUUGCACAUAGUGAAAGGAGAGCAAUAAUUCAAUUUAAAACGCGACUUGGAUCUAAGCAUAUUCACAUUACGGGUUUUACGAGUGGGAUUAUAACCUAUUCCUUGUCUAUCAAAACUAGGUUUUUGCUUUCCUAACAUUACGGUCAGAUUUUCUUCUCCUUGAACAAAUCUAGCAAGAGAUAUUUUUAAUGAGACUGCUUCUUUUUGAAGUUCAUUUUCAUGAAUGGGUUUAGACUGAGAUUCAUUACCAAAAGCAUCAAUACAUACAUCUCUCAUCUUCAAUUCAUUAGUCAAUUUUUCAACUUCAUUGUUCAAGUAAGUCUCUUUGUUAAAAAGAACUUUGUUAUAAUUCUCAAGAAAACUAUUUUUAGCAAUCAAAACUUUUUCUUCUUUACAUAUGGAUUCCUUUUUAAUAUUUUUCUUUUCAUCUAUCAAAGAUUCUACUUCACCCAUUUAUGUGUUAACUAAGUCUUUCAAAUAUGCAUUCUUUUAUUUCAAUUUCUCAUUUUCAUGUUUCAAAGAAAUAUUUUCAAAAAUAGAUACCUCAUUUGAUUCACCUUCUAUUCCCAUGAAGCAUACUUGAGCUAUCUCAUCCUUGGCGUCAACUUCAACUUCAGAUUCUUCUUCAUCACUCCAAGUGACUAGUGCCUUGUUUUUCUUAUUAUCUUUGAAGCCUGUUUUUCCUUUAUUCUUCAGUUGAAAACAAUCCUUCUUGAAGUGCCCUGGACGUCCACAUUCAAAACAUGUCUCUUCAGUUUGCUUUCCUUUGCCUUUAUUUGAGUUGAAGAUAUUCUUUCGUUUAUUCUUUCGUUGUAGAAGUCCUUUGAGUCUCCGGGACAUCAUAGCUAUCUCAUCGUCAGAAUCAUCAUCAAGCUCUUCUUCAUUUCCUGCAUUAAGAGCUAGAACCUUUCUACGAGGAGUUUCCUCCUCAUCGUCAUAUCUCUUUAACUGAUGUUCAUAUUCCUCAAGUUCACCAAAAAGAGUUAGUGUAUCCAUAGUAGAUAUAGUAGAGGAAUCUUGAAGAGUAGUAAUUUUAGAUGCAAACCUCUUGGGCAUAGCCCGAAGUAACUUACGGUUAAUCUCACUUUGCGGAAUGGAUUUAUCUAGUAGCUUUAAGGAGUUCAGAAAAACGAGAAACCUUACUUGAGCCAUCUUUAUAGUUUCAUCUUUCUCAAGUUUGAACAUUUCAUAAUCAUGCAUAAGCAUGCUUAGUUUAACUUCUUGAACUUUUGAUGUUCCUUUGUGACUCACCACUAGAGUGUCCCAGAUUUCCUUAGUUGUGUUACAUGAUGAUACUUUGUUAAUCUCUGAUUGUACCAUGCCGCUUAGUAGAGUAUUCAUUGCCCUUGAGUCAUAGGAAACCAUGAAGGUUUCAGUUGAAUCCAUCUCUAGCAAAGUCUUUGGAGUACCGUCAUCUUUCCUUGGAAUAACCGGUCCAUUUUCCACAACACACCAUUCCUAAGGAUCUCUUUUAAGGUAGAUCCUUAUUCGGAAUUUCCAGAAAUUGUAGUUUUCUGUUCCAUGCAGCAGUGGAGGUCUAUUGGUUGAUUGACCUUCUUGAUUGUUGUUUCCGAACUGUGCCAUGUCAAAAUCUUUCCCUACAAGUCACCUUUAAGACCAAGUAAGUAGAGCCAAGCUCUGAUACCAAAUGAAAUUCAGAUAAGGCACACUUAGAAGGGGGGGGGGGGUUGAAUAAGUGUUGAUACAAACUAUGACCAGUUAAAAUCUUUUAAUCAAAUUAUUGAAUGUAGUCAACUAUAUAAAUGAAUACAGCUUGCUGAAUGAAUAUGUUCUACCGAAUUGACUUUGUUUUUAAAAAAAUAUCUUGGUGAUUUUAUAAGUUAAAUGAAAUAUUUAAUGAUAACAAAAAUGCUUAUGAUCGAAUUUUGUUUAUUUAGCAAAUCAAUUAACUUGAGUGUAAUUAAGUAAAAUCAAUUAAUGAAAAUAACACCAAGAUUUUUACGUGGUUCGACUAUUACCCUCUAUAAUAAUAGCCUACUCCACUUCCAAUACCAACUAGUAUUAGAGACUCACUUUUAUUUCUUUAAAAGACUCUUGUUACAACACAGAUUCUAUAAAAAUUGAAUUACAAUAAUUCACUUGAGCACUCUUGCCCCUUGUGCACCAAUGCACUCCUUAAGCACCUAUGCUUCCUUGAACCUGUUUGUAAACAAACCUUAAUCCACCUGGAUUAAAUUCUCUUAGACAACACUAAGUCAAAAAAAAAUAAAUUUAAUAUUACAAUGAUAGAGGUCUAAUGAUCAAAGCAAAUAAGCAAUUUAACAAUGCAAGGCUCAACUAGUGAAUGCAAUGAUCAAGUAGUAAGAAAGAGAUAUCACCAAAAUUAAGCUCACGUAAAUAGCUGAUAAAUAAUCUUAGUAUAAUCGCACAACAGCUGGGAAUAUUGCACCAAGAAUAAUGAAUUAGCUUUUCAAGUAUAUGAGUGCAAUAAUUAAUUCAAGUGAUGUAAGUGUUGUGUUUUCUACUGAAAAUAAUUCUUCUUUUUAUAGCCCAAUUUAUAUAUUACCGUUGCUAAAAGAUAUUAACGUUGUAGAAGAAAAAUACAACGGUCCAAUGAUUUUUCUGUUGAAAACAAACGUAACAAAUAAUCUUUGGAUAAAUGUUGGACUCUCUAAAAAAUAAUCUAGAUAGAGACCAAGUCAAAUAGGACUAGACCUGUAGCAAUUAUGAUUCAAGAUAGAGUUUAAAUCGGACAACAAUAGUAACUCAAAACUAUUUUCCAUAAAGUCUGCAGCCAUCACCUAUCAUGAUAGUAACGGAACAAAUUCCAACUUUUCAAAGAUAAUCAUGAUUUCCCAUUUUCAAGGAAUAAGCUAAACACUCUACCGUCAUAUACAAUUUAUCACUAACAGAUAAUGACAAUUUCUUUAAACGGCAGAAACAACUUUUCAGUUACCAAUACAUGAAUUAUCUAUAUGUAACACUUAAUUAAUUAAUUCGGUCAGGACUCUUACGCAUGCAUGCAAAAUCAUUUCUCUUAGCAGAUAGUAAUGAAUAACAUAUUUUUAGACAUGCACAAGAUCAUAUUUAAUGCACACAUAAAAUGUCCUAGAGCCUUGAAUUGAAAAAUUAGAUAUUUGCAAUGACCUUACAUAUUUUUCUUAGGACUCAAAACAUCUUCAAUCUUCUUGAAUAAUCCAACACAUACGUCUUGAGAUAGAUUCCUGAAAUCCACAAUUCACAAUUUAGUACCGGCGAGUAAAUCAUCAUCUCAAAACAUUUAGGUUAGAAUGUGAAUUAAUCAACAUUCUCCCCCCUUUUGAUGAUGACAACAUAUAUAAAUGAAACUCCCCCUAAAUUCAUGCACAUUUCAGGAGAAGUUUGUAACACCUGCAUGUUAGUAUCAUACUAAACCAAAUAUGAGUUUGUAACACCUGCAUAUAUAUAUAUAUAUAUAUAUAUAUAUAUAUAUAUAUACAUUUCUGUCAGGCCUGGAGUUUACUUCAUGGCCUUUCACUGCUUUAUUUACAUUCUGUCCCGCCUAGAGUUUACUUCGUGGCGGUUGAUCGCAUUUAUUGCUUUAUUUACAUUUUUGAUCCCCCAUGGAGGUGUUUCGUGGUGGUUGAUCAUGUCUCUAUAUAUAUAUUUACCUCUUUUAUAUAUUUACAUUUCCGAUCCCCUAUAGAGGUGCUUCGUGGUGGUUGAUCAUGUCUGUAUAUAUAUAUUUACAGCUUUUAUAUAUAUAACUGCUUACUGCUUUCAUAUAAAUUACGGCAUCAUGUGAACCUAGGAAUCAUGUGAUCACAGAUUCAGUCUACUGAAUCUAGAUUCGGUUUCCGUGAUGGACAUUUUCAGCUGUAAGUAUCUUGUAAAUUAUUCACGGUGUUUGAAUUUCCUUAGAUAGCUUUCAUGCCCAUGAGGAGUUCGGCACUGCUAUAUAUUAUUUUCUCGAAGAUGCUUCGCAUCUUGAAAAUAAAAGCAACCAAGCUGAACAUUUAAUAAUAAAAUGGAAUUAUCAAAGGCCUCAAUUACUAUUGAGCACAGCGUUUGAAAAAACCUCUUUUACAAAAUCUCAUUGCUAUAUCUUGUUUAAAACUGAAUUUUUCAUACAAAUUCAAACCUUGUGUAUAUAGGUGCGAACGAGACAUAGCACUACUUCCAAAUAAAUUGCACAUUGAUGCACACACUGUGACAACCGAGAUUUUGUAAUUUAAUUUAAAUAUUUAUUGGAUUGAAUAAAUAUUUUUCGAUGAAUUAAUUAUUAGAUUAAUUAAUUAAUUGAUGAAGUUAUGAUAGAUUAAUUUAAUUAUAUGUGUUAUAUUUAUGAAAUUAAUGUGGAGAAUUUUAUUAUUCGAAGUAUGUGAUUAUGUGAGCUUAUUGUAUUAAAAGAAAUAUUUAAUAAGCUUAAUGUUAUUUAUUUUAAUUAAUUUUAUUAUUAAUUAGAGAUUUAAUAAUUUGAUAGUAUUAUUAAAUGAGAAAUGUAAUUAUGUGACUAUGUGAAUUAAUGAGAAAUUAUUUUAUUUUAUUUAAAUAAAUUAAACUAGAUAUUUGAUUUAUUUUAUAAUGGAUGUGACAUUUUGUUUAAACUAUAUGAUAAGAUUUUAUUAAAUAAUGGGUUUUGAAACCUAGUAUGCUAGCCAAACAUGGCCUUAAUGGGAGUUGAGGGAAGUUACCCAUGACUGGGUAACUUACCACAACGCGUCAGUUGAUUUUCUUUAUUACGCCUUCUUCUUCAUUUUUCCUAAGUCUAGAAAAAUAGAAACAGAGAGAGUUUCAGAGAGAGAUUGAGAAGUGUUGAGGGAGAAUUGUGAUUGAAGAAGAGUUUAGAAGGAAUUCAUUCACACACUAAUCUACGCUUUACGCUUCGGGUAAUUCUCUCCAACCCAAAUUCCUAUUUUACGUCUUUAUAAGUUUUCAUGAAUAUGGCCUAAGUUUUCUGUAAAGUUUCUGUAGUUGGAAAGGGUAACAAUUAUGUGAUUAUGUGUUAAUAUAUAAGAUCAUAGCAUAUUUUAUAUAUAUUAUAUGGGUUUCCAUAUCUUCAGUUUCAUGAAAUUAUACAGUAAAAGAUUUCAGAGUAUGUAAUAUGGCCAUAUGGCCUUAUACGUAUUUUUAAUAUGUCAAGCAUAAAUUGUUUUGCAAAAUUCACACAUUUAUAUGAUUAUGCAUGUUAAAAUGAACAAAAUGAAACUUGAAUGGUUGGAUUUGGCUUUAUAACGAAUCCGUAGCAUUAAAAUCCAUGUUUUUGUUCAAGAACAAUCCAAUUUGCAUGCUUUAAUUUUGUGAUUAUAUGUUUUAAUGGGUGAAAAUCACUCCAUAGAUAUUAAGUAUUGAUUAUUUAUGAAUUCUAGCAUGUGGGUAUGUCUAAAUUCGUGUAAGAAUAAGUUGUUUGGAAAUUUUUAGUCGUGUUCUGCAAUUUUCGCGAACUGCAGAAACUGGAACUGGAGUCUCGCGUCGCAGCACCAACUACUAGUUCUUUUCCCAUGCCGCAGCGCCACCCCACCGCAGCGCCAAGUGUCCAGCCGCAGCGCCUCGGCGCCGCAGCGCCAAGACUCAGCACAAAAGUGGCGCCGCAGUGCCACUUAGCAGAAUAGUCAGAAAUGAGUUUUUAAAAGUGUACAAGUAUAGAAAUGUGAUAGAAACUUAGUCUAAUGAUUAUAAAGACUUGUUAGACCUAUAAUGAGAUGUUAAAAUAAAUUCUUAACAUGUCCAUAACACAAUUACGUGUGAAUUGAAUGAUCAAAUGCAUAGUUACCUUAUUAUUUGUGAAGUCUUAAUUUUUGACAAUAAGUAUGGUAAUUUGACUAAGUAUAGUCAUGAAGUCAAGAUUAGAUAAAGAAUAACUUAUGAUGUUUAGUACGUUAUUAUUGACUGGUAUUGUGAACGUAAUUGGUAUGUAGGAUUUAAUUCAAAGAACGAGUUUGUUUAACUGUAAUCUACGCACGAGGCAAGUUUCUAAACCUUAUCUUGUUACAUUGAGCAAGUUUUCUAACUCUACAUUUACGUUGAGCAAGUUUCUUACCCUAAAGUUUCGUUGAGCAAGUUUCCUAACCCUACUUGUUAUCGUUAUAUAAGUUGAAUAAUUCAUCUUUCUAUAUUGAGCAAGUUAUCAUUAUUAUUGAUCAAGCCUGUCUUGUAUAUUAAAGUUUAUUAAUCUUCAAGCAUGAUGCUGCUAUACAAUAAUUAUUCUAUUGUAUACCUUUUGAGAUGUUAUUCAAGUUAAAUAUUCAUUUACUGUUAAACCUUGUUAGACUAGUGAACCCUUAUUGAUUCGACUAGUCCAUAGUUGAUGAGCGUUCUAAAUUUCAGAACCCCUUGAUGAAUUAUCCAAACCAAACUUCCUUUGGUGAGGACUCGAAUGUCAAACUGAGAUGAACAAACCUGUUUAGGGGAUUAUUUACGCUUAGCGUUAAGAUGUUGUGCACAGUAUGGUACUAAGGGCUGAUCCCCCUAAGUACGAGAAGAAGAGUCCAUAGUCUUAAGACUGUUAAAGGUUUCAAGUAAUAAGACUUGACAACCUAGGACAUAGUUCAAGGUCUUAUGACCCUCAGAAUUUCUUUUGAUUCUUGUUAUUCAUUCUUGAUUCAAGAGUUGAGCUUUAUAACAGAAGUUAUUAUUUCUCUCGCAUGUUAUUAUUCAUUGUUAUAUUGUUAUACUUGUGGGCAAUCGUGCUCACUCUUGCGAAUAAUAACAUUGCAGUUAAGAACGAAAGAGCAGACAAACCUUCCACUAGUAAAGGCAAGGGCAAGCUUAGCAAGUAAUGAAGACUGAUUAUUUAUGUGAUUAUGUAAUGAUAGUUAGACUUGAUGUUACUUAAGACUUAUUUGUUUAUGUUUUCCGCACAGAUGAUUUAAGGUUAGAGUAACCUAGGAUUUAUUAUUAUUCAGUUGAUGUAACCCCAUAAGGGGAGAGAUUUAUUAUUUAUUUAUUCUAUUGCAUGGUUUUCAAUUUAUUUAUGGGUAGAUAGAUAGAUAAUUUUUGUACAGUGAACACCAAAUCCUAUGGAAAUGGAAGUACCGGAUUUGGGGGUGUCACACACACACACACACACAUUCAUAUAACAGUUUUUUGAAAAGUGGCGAUCACCGUGGUAACACAGAUGUCGGGGGGUGCCUACACCUUCCCUCCGCAUAAUCAAGCCCCCGAACCCAAAUGAAUCUCGGUUUCACAGACCCGUUUAGCAGUGUCACAUCACUGGGUCAAUGUGCAAACCUUUUCUCGGUUGCGUUGGUGCAACCAGUUAAAAACACCAACUGGCGACUCUUAUAGUCAAAUCGUCGACAUAUACAUGUCGGACCUCUUUCACUUGUUUUUUCAAACAAAUCUCACCUAACAUGAGAACACUAAAGAACAAGAACAGAAAAGGGACAAAUAAAAAAUCCCGAUGUCGACAGGUGGCGACUCUAUUGGGGACACCAAUAAGAGGGCUUAAGCCGCUACAACAAGCUUUUCAAAACUAUUAUAUGCUUGUGUGUGAAUGUUGCAUUUACAUUUUUUGAUGAAUGUGUACGAAUGCAUUUUACUUACUGCACUACAAUAUAUCUACCUGUGAUAUUAGUGCUUUGCAUAUGUCAUCAUUUUCAUAAACGGUGAGACACAUUGUAUGUGAAUGUAUGUUGUGUGGUUCCUCCAAUAGGAGGCUAUCCUGUCAGUGUUUGAUUACUGGACUCGUAGGGAGACUAAUUCCAACGAGGCUCAGGAAAGGCACCACCCAGAUUUGCUCCAGUUGAACGACCAGAUUAACUUCCCGUCGAGUAGAUUGUGAUGAUCUGGGAACCUUCAUGCCAAAAAGCCGCGAGAGUAACCUAAGAUAGGUCAGCCUCUAAUAAACCAAAUGCGGAGAAAAGUCUCUUCAUGCUUUCCAUUUUUUAAUUACUUGUAAAGACAAUUACUUGUAAUUUCAUUCCAUGUUCAUCUAUAUGCAAUGGAAAAUAUGAAGAAUAUUUGCACAUGCAUAUUAAGGCUUGACAUGAUAUCAAAUGACACCCAUUUUACAAGAUAAUAUUCGUAAAAUGGACACAUUAUGAUAGCAUGUAAACAUUUAUACAUUCCCUAAGACUAAACUACAUAAGUUUUUUAUAGGGAAACAAUUGGGUCGGUUACCCGUUCAAAAUUCAAAAAGGCCACGAGCCUACAGCCAAUCAUGUCUUCGUCUAACCAGACUAAUCCUGCUCCUGUCUCUCGAGAAGAGUUUGACGGAUUAAGCAAGCAAAUUACAGAUUUGGCUGUUCUGCUUAAAGAAUUACACCAAUCUACUCAGGGUUCGUGAAUACCCAUACAUAUAGAAUCCUCUUCACAAGGAGGAGCACAAGGUUCAGAUAAAACAAUUCCUGAACUUCAGUUGGAUACGACCAACAAAACUCCUAAAAACACUCGUCUUAAAGAAGAUCCAGACACCGGUUAUAUCAGGAAGAAAGUCCUUCAAAUGGAGGAAACCAUCCGUUCUAUCAAAGGAAUUGGAGCACACGGGAGUGUUUCAUAUGCUUACCUUUGUAUAUUCCCUGGUGUUCAUUAUCCAGAGAAGUUCAAAACUCCUGACUUUGAAAAGUAUGAUGGGUUAAGAGAUCCUUACACACAUUUGAAGGUAUUUAUAGGAGAACUUGGAUCUUAUUUAGAGGACAAGAAUCUCAGAAUGCAGCUGUUCCAGAAGAGUCUGACUGGAGAAGCCCGGACGUGGUAUACCAGAUUAGACAACUCAAAGAUCCAUAGCUGGGAGGAACUAGCUCAUGCCUUCCUCACUCAGUACAGCUUCCGAUCUCAGAUGGCUCCUGACCGGUACCAGAUUACCAAGGUUAAUAAAUAAUCUACUGAAUCUUUCAGAGAGUAUGCUCAAAGGUGGAGGUGCCUUGCUGCUCAAGUCAUUCCUUCCAUAACGGAAUGGAAAAUGGUCAUGACCUUUAUAGACAUACAAGAAGCUCAUUUCUAUGAAAGAGUCUUAGCUGGCAUUGGCAAGCCAUUUUCUAAAAUGAUCAAACAUGGAGAGAUGGUUGAGAUGGGUUUGAAGUGAGGAAAGAUUCAAGACCUAGCCGCUCUUAAAGCAAUUGUUGAGCACAUCCAGUCUGGAACUUAUGGAAACAACCCCUGAAGGGUCCAUAAAAAGAAAGAGGAAGAUGUUUCCUUGAUACUACAAGGUCAAAAAGGCAGUCAAAACAUGCCUAUCCAGAGGAGAAACUACUCCCCUUUGUAAGCACAGUCUUCAAACCCUCCAUUGCCUAAAGGUGGAGAAGUCAGAUGCCCCCGAGUGUUCACACCCUUAGGGGACUCACUCGAGAAUAUCCUUACUCUUCUGAUUACUCAGAAGAAAAUUACACAUCUUCUUCCACCAGUCAACCCAAAUGGGAAGGGUUUCAAUGCUACUCGGAAGUGUGCUUAUCAUGCCGGGGCACCAGGACAUGACACUCAAGAUUGUUGGGCCUUGAAACACAAGAUCCAGGACUUAGUCGAUAAUGGGGAGAUUGUCGUGACUAAACCCGACCAACCUCAUGUGCAAGAUAAUCCUCUUCCUCAACACAAAGAAGGAGAGGUCAAUAUGAUUAAUUGGAGCAGUGGACAGAGUUCCAAUUACAUUGUUGAAUCUUCCCAGACGAGCAAAGACGGUACUGAUAGAUGGGAUUAUGCGCAGUUCCAGUUUAUGAUGGAGCGAAAGAUUAAGGCUCUUUGCAAACAAGUAGAUCAAUUAGCAGAACUGGUGAUUCAUCAACACCAAGUUACACGCCAAUUAGUCAGUCAGGAGAAUUCUAGUCUCCUUCCUUUUGUCAUGAAUAUUCCAUCCUCGCCUGUAGAAAGUGAAACACUGGAGGAUAAAGUUGUGCAAGAGCAAGUGCCAAAGCCCGUCUAGAUUUUGCCAACAAAUGGGAAUUUAUAUACCUUGGCCAACCUAUGGAGGAGAUAUUUUAGAUGUUGAUCAAUGAAGGAAGAAUUACAUCCCUUCUACCUCUAAUCAAUCCCCAUUCCAGACGUUUUAAUUCCGAUGGAGUAUGCCAAUAUCACUCCCACUCUCGCGGUCACAGCAUAGAAGAAUGUUGGGCACUCCGCUACCUCAUUCAAAAUUUAAUUGACAGUGGUGUCCUGCAGAUGACAAUACUUUGUUAUUCGAGAGUGGGAACACAUGUCCUACAAAAUGGAAGGACGGCGUAGCAGUUAUAUCCGCUGAGGAUGAUAUAGCUGCUAGACCACCCAAAAUACAAGUAAUUCAACUCAAAGGUGCUGACAAUCCUUUAAAAGUGGCUACACCAGAGCCAAUUAACUUACCAUUCAGAUCACAGUAUCCUAUUGUCAGCCUAUACAAAGUCCCAUGGAAUUAUGGGCAGGCUGAAGGAUCUACAUCACAUACAACUACUGCAGUGUCGAAGGAGAAUCCAUUGUAUCUUCCCCGUUGGGUGAUGAAGCCCACCAUCAAAUCAAAUGGGAAAUUUCCCAUGGAGAAGAUUGAAGAGUUCCUCCGUAUCAUGGGCCAUAAUGAAGCCAGGGUGGUUUUAAGCUUGAGAGAAGCUCCACGACAAAUUUCCAUACUGGACUUGGUUUUCUCUUCCGAAGAUCACAGGAAAAUAUUACUAAGGGUCUUGGAAGAAGCCCAUUUAUCGAAAUUAUUGGAUGUGGAAAAAUUCCAACAUCUGGUUGAUCACAUUUUCAACAACAAUGUGAUAUCUUUCACUGAUGACGACAUACCCGCUGAAGGGACCGAUCAUUGCAAGUCGUUGCACAUAGCGGUUUUGUCCUCCAGAUACAUGGUAGGAGGAGUCUUGAUAGAUGGAGGUUCAUCUCUUAAUAUAUGUCCUUAUGCUACCUUGGAGAAGAUGAAUAUCAACCCCAAGAGGAUCAAAAGCAGUUAUACGGUUAUCAAAACUUUUGAUGGGUCCUGACGAAAUGCUGUUGGAGUGAUUGAAUUGCUAGUGGAGAUUGGUCCACAUACAUUCAAUGUAUCCUUUCAUGUUCUCAAAAUAGCCACAGGAUAUAACCUGCUUUAGGGAAGACCAUAGAUUCAUAUGACUGGAGCCUUCCCUUCCACCCUUCAUCAACAACUCAAGUACAUUAUCAACAAUAGCCUAGUCACUGUUAAUGCUGAGCCGGAAUGUCCUAAACAAAGUGACAUGCCACUAAUCAGCUUCAAUUCAGAAGUUGAGCAGGCCAGUUUCCAUGCCCUAGAGGUGAGCAACACUCUUUACCAUCCCAUUGGGGUGCCACCUCUCACACCCAAGAUUUCUGCUGAAGUAAUGUCGGCCACUCAAGAGAUGAUAUCAUUGGGUCAUCAACCUGGACAAGGGUUGGGCAAAGAUUAGCAUGGUAUUAAACACCCGAUUCAAGUGUCUAGUCAAACAGGGACAGCUGGAUUAAGCUAUUCUGCUAGCUUCAGUCACAGGAAUCCUCAUAAGCACAAACAGAAUCCUUCAACUUCAGCCACACGGCGAUUGCCUCCACCUGCAAAUCUUGAGCUUAGACAGUCUCCGGUAAAGGUGCCAACCCAUGUUAUGGCUAUGUUAUUUCCCAAACCAAUACCGGUUAAAACAAAAGAGGUCCUAAUUCCUGAUCCCGAAGUGGAAGAGAGGGAACAAAGACGUAAACAAGACAUCGCCAGGAUGAUGUUAAACAUACGCAUCAUUAUCCAUGAUAAACAUACAAACAGAUACACCCCAGAAGAUGACUGCACAGAUGUCAUGGUCCUCAUUAGGGAAAAGGAGGACGAUGAUAGCCCCUCCAUCACCGCAGUCCAUCAGGGCUUUACCCUCGACAAUUGGAGCAGCACUCCAUGCAUUGGUCAAUGAGGGUAAAACGGGCAGAAAUUCCAUCUGCCCUGUAGAUAACUUUAACUGCUUACUUUUCUGUACAGUAUUAGCAGUUAUUUUAUCAGUACAUGCUAACACUUUUGUAUGAUUGAACAGUUUCAUAUAUUAAGUGAAAGUAUAUUUUGUUUCAGGACUCUAAAUUUAGAUGUGUAUGUACUUGGUGAUGAGGUGCAUUUUCUCCAGAAGGACUAUAACUUUGAUGAAAAGUUGGACUCAGACUUGAUGGAAAUACAAGAGGACAUUGAGAUACCUCAGGAGAUCAAGGAAUGGGUCGAAGAUAAACCUAAACCUAACCUUCAUCAAACAACAUCUUUCAAUCUCGAAACCUUAGAAAACCCUAAGUUAAUCUAGAUUUGUUCAGACCUCACUCCAAACCAAAGGAAUGACAUGGUUGUGCUACUAACCCAAUUCCAGAAUGUGUUUGCAUGGUCUCACAAUGACAUGGUGGGUUUGUCCACUGACAUUGUCCUUCAUCGCCUUCCCAUUAAAGAGGGAUUCAAGCCAGUCAGGCAGAAGCUUAGGUGAUUGAAACCUGAGUGGAGUUUAAAGGUUAAAGAAGAAAUUAUGAAACAAUUUUAAGUGGGCAUCAUCAUUGUGUCUACAUAUCCUGAAUGGCUAUCAAACAUAGUCUCCAUGCCUAAACCUGGAGGAAAGGUGCGAGUUUGUGUGGAUUAUCGGGAUCUGAACAAAGCUUGCCUUAAGGAUAGCUUUUCCGUGCCAUUUAUCCACAUUCUCAUUGACAAUACUGCUCAAUACGGUAUGUAUUCCUUUAUGGAUUACUUCGCGGGGUAUCAUCAGAUUAUGGUUCCUGAGUAGGAUCGUGAGAAAACUUCUUUCAUCACGCAUUGGGGAACCUUUAAUUAUAGACGGUUGUCCUUCGGCCUCAUCAAUGCCGGAGCAACCUAUCAGUGAGCUAUGAUGGCUCUUUUCUAUGACUUAAUGCACAAAGAGAUAGAGAUCUACAUGGAUGACAUCAUUGUCAAAUCCUAAAGGGAAGAAGACUACUUAGACCAUCUCAGAAAGCUUUUCAAUAGGUUGCGUAAGUAUAACUUGAAGUUGAAUCUAGCCAAGUGCUCCUUUAGUGUUAAAUUAGGAAAGUUGCAAGGUUUCCUAGUCAACCACAAAGGGAUUGAGCUGGAUCCCACCAAAAUCCAGGUCAUCAAGGAAAUGCCCAUUCCUUAGACAAAGAAGGAAAUACGGGGAUUUUUGGGAAGAAUCAACUUCAUUAGCAGGUUUAUUUCUUAACUCACAGCAACUUGUGAGCCCAUCUUUAAGCUGUUAAGGAAGAACUCCUCCAUGAAAUGGAAUGAUGAGUGUCAGAAAGCCUUCCUUACAAUCAAAGAGCAGUUGGUUAACGCUCCUAUUUUGGUACCUCCCAGGGAUGAUGUUCCCCUAUUUAUGUACCUUUCCAUCAACGACAAUGCCAUGGGCUGCAUGCUAGGACAGUGAACACAAGUAUACUCUGAUUGAGAAGACUUGUUUUGCUUUAGCAUGGGCUUCCACGAGGUUACAACAUUACCUUCAUGGUCACACAACCCAUCUCAUAUCCCACGUGGAUCCUCUCAAAUACGUGUUCGGUAAGCCCAUACUGAAUUGUCGGCUAUCUAGAUGGCAAUUGAUUCUGCAAUAAUUUGACAUCGUCUACAUGACACAAAAGUCCAUUAAAGGACAAGAAAUUGUGGAUCAAUUGGCCGCCACACCCGCAGGGGAUUACAAACCCUUAAAAACAUACUUCCCCGAUAAAGGGGUUAUGGCAAUUCAGCAACACCAUCAGUACGAUGCAUGCCAUACGUGAAAAAUGUAUUUUGAUGGAGCUGUUAACAUGGAAGGUUCUGGAGCUGGAGCAAUUCUAGUAUCCGGUACGGGGGAGCAGUAUCCCGUUGCUGUCAAAUUACAGUUUGUCAGCACCAAUAACAUAGCUGAGUAUGAAGGCUGUAUCAUGGGGCUAAAACUUUCUCAUUCAAUGGGCAUUAGACGGUUAACUGUCUUUGGGGAUUCAGAGUUGGUAAUCAAAUAAACCACGAGAAUCUAUCAAACCAAAGAGCUACAUUUGUUGCCUUACCAUCGGCAAGUUUCACAGAUGGCUUCAGAGUUCGAAGAAGUAAACUUCCUCCACAUUCCUCAGAAUAGGAAUGAUUUUGCGGAUGCGCUAGCAACUUUGGCCUCCUUGAUCACCAUACAUGACAAGGAAAAUAUGCCAAGCAUCCCAUUUUCCCUACAAAAGGCUCCAUCCUAUGGGAACUACGUUGGAGAAGUAUCAGAUGAGCUACCUCCCAACCAACACCCUUGGUAUCAGCACAUCAAGGAGUAUCUGCGAGAUGGAUCUAUACUCGCUGAGGCGAGCCCGACUGAAAAAAGGCGGAUCCAUUGAUUGGCUAUGAAAUUCUACCUGAGCAGAGAUGCACUCUACAAAAGAGAUGCGGGAUUAGGUCUCCUUAGAUGUCUAGACAAAGACCAAGCUCAGAGGCUCAUGGAUGAAAUCCAUGGUGGAAUAUGUGGCCCACACAUGAGUGAACCUCUACUUGUUAAGAAGAUCCUCAAAACAGGGUAUUACUGGCUUACUCUCAAGGCUGACUGUGAUGAUCACGUCAAGAGAUGCUACCAAUGACAAAUUCAUGGGAAUGCUAUCCACACCCCUCCAAGGGAACUCCACAAUAUGAGUUCGCCUUGGCCCUUCUCAAUGUGGGGAAUGGACGUGAUCGGGACCAUCGAUCCCAAAGCCAGUAAUGGGCAUCGGUUUAUCUUCACCAUGAUCGACUACUUCACCAAGUGGGUAGAAGCAGCCUCCUUCCCCAGGGUUACCAAAGAAGUCAUCAUUUCUUUCAUCAAAAACAAUGUCAUCUGUCGAUAUGGACAACUGGAGGUAAUUGUGUUAGACAAUGCUAAGAACCUCAACAACAAAAUGAUGGAGGAGUAAUGUAGUAAAUUCCACAUCAAACACCUUAACUCCGUCAUCUACCGUCCAAAGAUGAAUGGUGUUGUUGAAGCGGCUAAUAAAAAAAUCAAGAAGAUCAUUCAGAAGAUGUCCGCCAACCAUAAAGGAUGGCCUGACUUGUUGCCUCUAACUUUAUUAGCCUACAGAACUUCAAUGCGUACUUCCACUAGGGCAACCCCCUACUCAUUAGCCUAUGGGAUAGAAGUAGUGCUUCCUAUAGAGGUGGAAAUGGAAUCCCUUAGAGUGUUGAUGGACGCUCAGCUAUAUGAAGACCAAUGGGUACAAGACAGAUAUCACCAAUUGUCUCUAAUAGACGAAAGGCAAAUUGCGGCAAUCUUCCAUGGUCAGUUAUAUCAACAAAGGAUAGUCAGAUCCUACAACAGAAAAGUCUGGCUAUGGCAGUUUAAACAACAUGACUUUGUUUUGAAGAAGAUCAUUGACAACUAAGAUCAAUCUAAGGGAAAAUUCGCUUCAAAUUGGGAAGGCCCGUUUGUUGUCAAGGAAGUAUUGACAGGAGGCGCUCUCAGACUACAGGAAAUGGACGGCGAUGAAUUUCCAAAACUCAUCAACUCGGACACCGUGAAAUGGUACUAUGUCUGAGGUGGCCAUCAAACAAACAUCCUGGUUUUGGAUCAUCAGAUCACAAGUCAUUCAGGUUUUCUAACCCUUUCUUACAUACAAAAUCUUCUUCAUACUCUUCUGCCCCAUCAAGGAAACAUAAUCUUCAAGCCAGUAGCCUGGUUUCACUUUAUUUCAAACCUUUCAUACAAUUUUGGUUAUCCCACCAGGGAUUGAACCAUUCACACCUACAGUUUAUCCUGAACAUAGGAUCAAACUUUUUCACACUUGCAGUUUGUCCUGAACAUAGGAUCAAACUUUUUCAAACCAGCAGUUUGUCCCAAAUAUAGGAUUAAACUUUCUUUCCCCCGCAAUUUAGCUUGCAUAUGGGAUUAAACUUUUUGCUAGCAGUAAAUUGUCUCGAGGGGUGAACUACGUCGACCUGAUCUCCCAGAUACCCGGGAGUACGUAGGCAACCAUAUUCUAUAUGGCCCGGUCAUAAUAAAUAACAAAAAUAACAAAAAUAUUUUUGUCUUCUCUUUACAAAAACAAAAAACAACAAAAACACUUCUGCCCUUUCUCUAUAAUAACAAAAAUAACAAAAACAUUCCUACAACCUUUUACAUUCAGCGUUGAACCUCUUACACUAGGUUCGAACUACGCAAACCUGAUCUCCUCUUCAAUAGGAGUACGUAGGCAGCCAUUUAUGGUUCAGUCUAACCCUCUACCAAAACACAAAUACUUAUCACCUGGUACUGGGAUCAAACUUCAAUCCACCAUAUUUCACCAGCUUCAGACCAAAGGGAUGGAAUUACCUGGCCUUCCCAUAAAUGGGAGAGUUGGCAACCAUCUAAGCUGCGGUUGAUUCCUUGAAGAGAAACACCAAUCCAUAAGAGAUGGAACUAAUUGGGCUCCUCUUAAAUAGGAGUAUUGGUGACCAUCUGUGGUGCGAUAAAUCUCAGAGAGGAAAAGUCACACUCCUAUACACAUCUACAUACAGAAACUAGUCCCAAGACACCAAAGAGGGUAGGGAUACAUAUAGAUCAAUGAUCCAUUCUGAAAGAUCCUGUGACGUCUCAAUGUCCACACAUCAAGGAUGAAUUCAGAAUACAUUAAGAUCACAGGCCCUAAAGAAGUAGGUAAAUAUCAAGCAAGUUUUAAGGCACGACUAAAAGGGAAGUGAAUCAAAAUAUAUUUCCCUGCCAUAUAUAAUGCAGUUUGAUAUAUACAUAUUUGUUGUGCAUGACAAAAUGGCUAAGCUAGUCUAUGAAGGAAAAUACAAGUCUAUCUACGGAUCUAUAUGUAUGCGUACUAUCAGAUCUAACAUAGCAUCCCUCUCCGAAGAAGGAGGUAACGCUGGAAGCUCCUGCCCAAGGGCAUCUACACGAGCUAGCAGAUCUGAGGCCAACUGCAUGGUGGCAUGAUGGUCAUCAAUAUAUAAACUCAUAUCGGCAAGGAUGCCAGUCGUAAGGGAUCUCACUGAAGUACUAUCUAUGAUGGCCACAUCUCGGUCAGAUAGGGCAACAUCCCGCUCUACAAUCAAUGCAUCUCUGGCUAAUCUGGCCUCAUCUCUCUCCAAUAGAACGGCGUCUCUCCCAUCAAGAGCUGUCAACAUCAAGGCCCUAGCCUGAUCUCUCUCAAAGGUCAUCAGAUGAAGACAUUGCUCUAAAUACUAUGCUGAAUGAUGAAUCACAGUAGCACUCAUACUGGGAGAAUCCAUCACAACUGUUGGCAACCCAGUAGUAAAAUCCUCCUCGGUGGGAAUAUAAGUCUCCUCCAUAGGCUCCCCAUCAUUGGAAUCAAUCCCAUGCACUGUGGAUACUGCCAUAGCCAAUGUCGUCUCUAUCUCCAUCCAUGCAGAAUACUCUACAGAACAGCCCGAAUGGCUAAUGAAAAACGCAGCUAGCUCACGCUGAUCCCAACAAGCAUACAACCUGGAUCUAUCCUCUGCUGACAAGUGGUGGGAAGCCAAAUGCUAACUCAAUGCCCCCUCAAAAGGAUGGAAAUCCUAGAACUGGUCAAACUAACACAUCACAGCUAGUGGGUGGUAAGUAGUCAUGCCCCUCAAACCAGCUAGAGGGAGAUAAUCCAUGCCCGGAGCAUGAGUAAUGAAGUUGUAGGGUAAGCUAAGCCCUGUACACGGUAAUAUAUCAAACAGAUCCCCGAUCCCUGCUAGGAAAACAGACCAAGAUGCAGGAUCUGAACGCUCUACAGGCUGGAAGGAGUACGACAUGGCUAUCUCAUGGGUGAAAUAAUACCCAUGCCGUCUGAAAGUGCUAAUCGGUCUCAAGUGUGACAUAAACUACACAUACAAUAUGAUCGAACUGCCUGUGAAUAAACCCCUACAGGGUAAGUGCUGCAAUAUAAGGCUGACCUUAAUGUCUCUAAUAUGAUCAUCGGUACAAUGGUGUGACCCUCCUUGAGAGCUCUCACUGCCAUGAUGACGCCAAUAUCUAGCUCAUCCAUGUACCGUGACAUGUAUACAUAUAACAAUACGCACAGUAGCAAGACAUCUACUCUGGCCGAGUGCCAAUGAUCCUCCGGCAUGGUAAAAUCCCCGAAGUGCCAUGUAUAACUAUCAUGAAGGCCAAAUCUGUCCAUUAAAAAAUGCUGGGAUACAACAUGACCGGAUGUGAUCUCAUCCUGCACAACUCUACGCCUCAACCCGGUGAGAGUCAUAAACUGUCAGCUUAUGUCGCCGAUGGUCAUCCGCGCGUAAGGUCUGUCUAAUGGCAGCGUCAUCAACCGUACAUACUCCUCUAGAGUAGGAGUCAACUCAUGGAUGCCAAACCGGAAGACCUGUCUCUCCGGUAUCUAAUGCUCUAGCAUAUCCUCUUUGAAGCUUAUGGGAACUUGAAACAUCAGCAGAGUCAUAGUAUGCUACAAUAAUUGAUCUACAGUCACCCUAUCUGAAGGUGACAUACUAUCAUACCAUGAUCUCAGAUGGGAUGCCACCAAUAAUGGUGGGGUAUGAUCAAUGUGGCUAACUGUCGAAGAAGACAUCUGUGUGGGCCGUAUCAUAAGACCAUCCAGGGGUCAAUGCUGAAUAUCUCUGAACAUACAUGCAUAUGCAUAACAUAAUACAUGUAUGAUAAAGAAUAGGUGGCAAUAUGAUAUAGGGAAUGGAAAACUGUACAUACAUUCCUAAAUAUAUCAUCAUCAUCUAAUACAUCUCUGUACAGCUAGAAAUACAGGGAAAUGGGGCACAGACGCCCUACAUCUAACAGAGGCCUAUCAAAAGAUAUAGCAAGAAUGGGGCGUAGCCACCCAAUAUCUAACAGAGUCCUACCACCCCUCUGGCUCGGUCCAGUUUGAGUUGCAAAGGAGUUCUUACAAGCUAAAAAGGCCAAAUCAGGAAUAAAAAUGCUACGCGAUUGAGCAGAAUAGCCUGAAAUCCUGGUUUUCACGGGUCAAAUUGUGGCUUUACAUAUCACUCAUUGGUCUUCGCCCAAACACAGGGUACACUAUACCGAUGAUCUUAGUUAUUGCAAACUACAUUCGGCAAUACCUCACGAAGGUCUGAUGCCAUCAAUUUAGGGUCGUAGCCCUAAAGCCUUGUCCCCAUCGGCUUUUUCAUACAAUUAUCCGUUGAUACACACGUCAACAAAGGUCACGCAGCCUUGAUAUUAUCCCCAAUAGGGUUCUUAUCCGUUGAUUUCACAUGUCAAUAAUGGUCAAACAACCCUAACAACACCGACUGUUGGCAGUAACUCCAACAGAAUAGCGAAAAGUCCUGGCGGUAAAAACCAGGAUAGAUCAUCCUCAUCGGGGAGGACCGAUGAUGGAAUAUGUUAUACACAUCCUCAAUAGACCAAGCUUUAUCCCCACAAAGUCUCUUGUACAUGAGAGAUGCAUCUUCAGGAUAAAGUAUGUAUCAAGGAUUCAAGACUUUGGUGACAACCCCAAUGUCAACAAUCCUAGAGAUUCCUGGUAGCUGUGGAUCACACGUCCAUGAUAGUUCAUCAGGCUGCUUAUUUAGUGCUCCCCCGGUAGAAGCAACAGGGAGCCGGCAAUCAUCCCAUCAUGUUGGAAAAUAAUCCAACAAACCACAUUAGCCGGUCUCAUCUUUCUUUUCCUCUCCCGCUCUGAAAGCCUAAAAUCGCUAUCGAAAUUAAGCACCUUUCCAAUGCCUAAUGUCGCUCUAGCUGAUGCGAUAGUUGCAGCUUCUUAAUGCACUACCCUUAUUUUACACUUGACUUAACCUGCCUUCGAGACAGAGUGAUGGGGCCUCCCCCUCAUCUAUAAAGGAUAGGCAAUUGAGAGAUAAUAGGGCGAUAGCGAUAGACACAGGAACUGAAAGAAAUAGAUAAAAAAAGGACUUCCGUAGAGGAGAGGGUCAACCUGCUUAGAUAGGGCGAUAGCCCGGUUUUGGUUGAAUAUGAUUUCCUGUGCUUGUCUUGUAUUGAGGUAUACCAAAGAUAUGAGUCAAAGUAGGUAACAUAAGGGGAUUGCAUCAUGUUGUUAUGCAUUGCUUCAUAAUCAUCUUGUUGUAUUUCAAUUGUCUAGUAUUCUUUAUUCUAUCCAUGCCAUUACAUUGCAUGAAUAUGAUAAAGAGGGGCAUCUAUAGACACUCAAAAUUUUCUGCAUGCCUGUUACUAACAUUGCAGGAAGCGCGGAAUCUUCUUUCAGAGAUAACCCUGGAAGAAAACUCAGCUUUAGCCCAAAAAUAACAUCGAAAGUUCAGUUUUAACCCCGAAAAACACAUCGGGAGUAUCAUUUCCCACCUCAAAAAUAACCCCGGGGAAAGCAGUGCAAAUACCGAAAAUUCCACCAGAGAAGGCCGAUUCAUCUUGGAGAUAACCCCAAGAUGUUCAGUCUCAGUCCCGAAAACAACACCGGGAAAGACAAUGUUAACCUUGGAGAUAACCCCAAGGAGUGCAGUUGCAGUUCCAGAGAUAACCGCGGAGAUGCUCGUUUCAACCCAUAUAGUCAGCUUCAACCUCGGGACUCACAUUGAGGCACUCAAUUCCCAAACCCGGAGAUAAACUCGGGAGGACAGGCACACCUCAGAGACAACCCUGAGGGCAUUCAACACCUGCAGCAGCCCAAUCUCAAAGAUAACCCUGAGCAACGUCUGCUUUAUCAGCCAACACCGGAGAUAACCCCGGUGAAGGGCAAAAUCAUUAAUUUGCCACCUCAACCCCACAUAGCGUCUGUAAGACCCCGAAUUUUAUGAAAUGAAAGUAUUCAAUUUUCUUAUAAUUAUUCUAUUUAAUAAAGGGUUAAAUUGAUAAAAGGUUAAAGUUAAGGGUGAUAUGUGAAGAUUUUUCAAAGUAAACAAGUUGUCAUAAAAUAAUCGGUUCUAAAAUUAUGGUAAUACGCGUGGUUGCAUAGUAGCACAUGGUAUUGAUUAUUGAUGCUUACGUGAGAAGUCACUCAGUUAUACUCAAUUAUUUCUACAGUAAUUACUGCAUCAUAUCUCUCAUAUUAUUGAUUCAAUUAUUGUCACAGUAUCAUCUGCAUUAUAUGUUAUAUUAUUAAAUCAAUAAUUGAGACGACAAAGUCAUUCAUAUUAUUAUUUGCAAUAUUGACAAUGUCUAGAAGUUCUGUCAAGGAGAGGUUUGGUCACCUAAUUGCGCGCCAAUAAGGAGAAAUCCUUAUCGAAAAGCCCCCUCUUUCCUGAAAAUAACCUGGUUGUUAAAUAUUAUGAAUUAUAAUAUUAAUGAUGAAUAAGUUCAUGUUGAUUAAAGAUGAAAUUGAUAGUUCCAUUGUGUUGGGAUUAUUUGUGUUAGUGAAAAUCGACAUCUAUUUCAAUAAUAAUGGAUGUCUGGAGGUUAUAUUGACUAAUCAGAUAAUUAACCGGAUAAAUGAGCAAUUAAUUGCUAUUGAUUCACAUGAUUAUAACUAUUUAUUCACAUGUGUGUACUAUUGAUUCACAUUCAUUUACUAUUAGGAGAGUUGGUGCAAGAUUGAUAAUACUUGCAUGACUAAGUUAAAAAUGGAGGUAUAGAUGGAGGUACUAUAAUGUAAUUCGUAUUUUUACAUGUCUAGAACUAUUGAGUCACAUGAUUUACUAUUGAUUCACAUGAUUUACUAUUAGGGGAGGUGGUGCAAGUUUGAUAAUACUUACAGGACUAAAUUAAAAAUGAAAGAAAAGAGGAAGGUAUUAUACUGUAAUAUUUUAAGCCCCAAAAUGUGCAAUUAUUGAAACUAUAUUUUCCUAUAAAUAGUAGCUCAUUCCUUCAUUAUUUUUCACCAAUUCACUAACGCUAUAGAGCAAUUAUUAUAGAGAAAAAGAAGAAGAGAAGUCUGCUACUUCACUAUUCCAGUAUCCAGUCUUCUUUUGAGGUAAGGGGUAUUAUUUCUUUCGUAUUCAUGAAGAGAGCUUCUGUUAUUCCAUUCUUUAUUAUUAUGUUGGAAUAACAUGUCUAUGCGAAGUAUCGCAUACAUGGUGAAAUUCUUCUGUUAUUUCAUUCUUUAUUAUUCUGUUGGAAUAUCAUGUCUGUGCGGAUUACACAUGACCUGGUUCCAUUCUUUAUUAUUCUGUUGGAAUAUCCUGUAUGUGCGUAUUACGCAUUACCUGGUUCCAUUAUUUAUUAUUCUGUUGGAAUAACAUGUCUGUGCGGUCUAUCGCAUGCCUGGUGAAUUCUUCUGUUAUUCCAUUCUUUAUUAUUCUGUUGGAAUAACAUGUCUGUGCGGUCUAUCGCAUGCCUGGUGAAUUCUUCUGUUAUUCCAUUCUUUAUUAUUCUGUUAGAAUAACAUGUCUAUGUGGAUUACCGCAUACAUGGUGAAUGAUCCUUCGUAUUCAUUCUUUAUAAAUGAUAUGUCUACGUGGAUUACCGCAUGGCGGGUGAAAAUCCAUUUGCAGUUUUGUAUAUUCUAUUAUAUUCGUAUGAGAUAUCAUUUCUUUUGUACUGGUCAUGGAAUAUCAUUUUCUUUGGUAUUUUUUUACGAGUUACUAUUCACGGGUUACUAUUCACUCUAGUAUUAUUCACUCGGGUAUUCGGGACACUUUUCGUGUCAGAGUACUAUUCACGAGUUACUAUUCAUGGGUUAUUAUUCACCCAAAUUACUAUUCACUCGGGUAUUUGGGGUACUUUUCAUGUCGGGGUACUAUUCAUGAGGUACUAUUCUUGAAGUACUAUUCACAGGGUACUAUUCACGGGGUACUAUUUACCCAAAAAAUAUAUUUCUUUUCUGUCUAAAUUAUUUUUGGUACAUGAAUAUUAUUCUUGAAUUUUACUCUACAAAGCAGUAUCAUGUUGGCAAUUUGGACGUUAUUGAUUUUUGGAUAAAUUAAAUUAUAAAUCUUUAAAAUUUAUCCUUGAACUUGUUUUAUUGAAUUAUUAUGUCAUUGUCAUCAUCCUAAUGCUUAUAUUGUGAUUAAAGUCAUCUUUGGCUUACGUGCAAAGAUGAACUUUGUAUGAUUAUGACCAGGGAUUAUUCGGUAUAAUCAUGACCAUAAUGUAAUGAAUGAUGUGGUAAAAGUCCUCAUUGGCAUGUAAUUCAUUGAUGGACAGUUGUUGGCAUGAUUAUUGUGACACCCCCAAACCUAGGUACUUCAUUUCCACAGGAUUUGGUGUUCACUUAAUCAAACAUUCAUAUCUAACUACCCAAUCACAAUAAAACUGGAUAAAUAAAACCUUCCCCCUUAAAGGGUUACAAAAAAAAAAUCUCCCAGGUUGUCUAACCUUUAAACACAAUCAUUCAAAUGCGGAAAAUAAAUAAUCUUUCUUACAACCAUUCCAUUAAAAACUGAUAAUAAAAUAUCAUCAAAUUACAAGUCUUCAAUACUUGUUCAUCUUUCCUUUUCCCUUACUGGUGCUAGGUACAUCAACCUUCUCAUCCUUAACUGUAAUAAUUAUAUAAGCAAGAGUGAGCAAACAAAGCUCACUUGAUACAAUAAUGAAUGAAAAACCUUUACAACAAAUGUUAAAUAAGAGGCUCAAUAGAUUUAAACAAUUACGAUUUGUCAACAAUCUNNNNNNNNNNNNNNNNNNNNNNNNNNNNNNNNNNNNNNNNNNNNNNNNNNNNNNNNNNNNNNNNNNNNNNNNNNNNNNNNNNNNNNNNNNNNNNNNNNNNNNNNNNNNNNNNNNNNNNNNNNNNNNNNNNNNNNNNNNNNNNNNNNNNNNNNNNNNNNNNNNNNNNNNNNNNNNNNNNNNNNNNNNNNNNNNNNNNNNNNNNNNNNNNNNNNNNNNNNNNNNNNNNNNNNNNNNNNNNNNNNNNNNNNNNNNNNNNNNNNNNNNNNNNNNNNNNNNNNNNNNNNNNNNNNNNNNNNNNNNNNNNNNNNNNNNNNNNNNNNNNNNNNNNNNNNNNNNNNNNNNNNNNNNNNNNNNNNNNNNNNNNNNNNNNNNNNNNNNNNNNNNNNNNNNNNNNNNNNNNNNNNNNNNNNNNNNNNNNNNNNNNNNNNNNNNNNNNNNNNNNNNNNNNNNNNNNNNNNNNNNNNNNNNNNNNNAUUUUACAGUCCUACUAUCAUCACAUAACAAUUUCUUAACAUUUGAGUACAAAAAAAAUACACUGUCAGACCAUUCUGCUAACUCGCGCUGCGGCGCCACAGUUUAUAUUGUGGUGCGGCGCUGCGGCGCGGAGAUGGCGUUGCGGCGCGAGAAUAACGCUACAAGGCUGCGCUGCGGCGCGAAAGAUGAACUGCUGGGCCGCGCCGCGGCGCCAAACUGCAGUUUCGACUGACAGCUUCGGCAACAGUAUAAGAAAAAGCCAAUUUUGGCCUAAAAGUUCCUUUCUAACAGCCUAAUUCACAUGCAAUUCAUACAAAGACUUCAUGUAAACAUAAUUCAAAGAUUGUAAACAUGUUUCUACUAAUAAAACAAUAUAAACAAUAAAUUUAACACAUAUAAUUUCACUAUUUUUGAUAAAAACUCACUUUUUGAUGUUUUUGAUGAAAAUAAACACUGUGAUUUUGUUUUUCAACCAAAACAGUUAAUUCAAAGCAUUUUAUCAAUGUUUAUACAUACUCUAUCAAACUCAACAGUCAAUUUAUCAAUUAAACAACUAAUUACCCUUAAUUUUUACUUUAAACUAAACAAUAUAUAUAUACACAAAAACUCUCUGUAAAAAUAGCUUUUCUUCAUAACCAUAUACAUAAUACAAAUUCAUGGACUAUCCUCCAUUAUAGCUUAAGAAAAUAGUUUAACAACACUAGAUUAUCAUAUAAAAUCACAUACAUAACAAAUAAUUUAUCCUUACACAAGGAUUUUACAGAGAAUUAGGGAAGCGAAAAAACUAAACCUUUAAAACUAAAAAGAAUAGGAUAAUACCUUGAAGAAGAUGAUGAUGGCUAUUCCCUUUUUUUUUAUUCUCAAGCUUUUCUUCUAACCAAUUCCCUAGCCUUUCUUCCUCUCUUCUUUUCUCUCUCACUUUUCUUCUUCUCUUCUUCUUCUUCUUCUUCUUCCUCUGAGUUUUCUCUUUUCUUCCUAACUCUAACUACGUACUAACAAUAUAACGUAUAUAGGAUAUAAUUUAUAUUAAUUAUAUAAUAUAAAUAUAGAUAUAACUGAUAUCAGUUAUCUAAGUUUUGAAAACAAAAAGCCAUAAGGCUUGUUUGGCUAGUCACUAAAAAAAUAACCAAUUAAUCCUUAUGCCUUGUUUGGUAAAACACGAUUAGAAAUAAAGACUUAAUAGGCAUUAGGCAUUGUUUGGAAAAACUGAAUUAAAACUCCUUUAAGUUAUUUUAAUAACUACUUUAUAAAAGGUUAUUUGUCACACUUUUAAUAAAUUAAAUUAAUCUUAAUAACAAUAUAUUAAAUUACUUUAACACAUAAAUCAAUACCACAAAAUUAUAAUUUUCUAUAUAAUUAUAACUUUAUUUAACAACCUAACACAUCCUUUUAAUUACAAAAUUCAAAUAAAAAUAAUAAUAAUUCAAUUAAUCAAAACUCUCUAACUUAAUAAUUAAAUUAAAUUAGCAAAUAUAAUAAUUUCCUUAAUUAUUUAUUUAACAAAUAGUUAGCCAAAUUGAAUCAAUUUUGAACAAUUACAAAUUCAACCAUAAACACAUCCAUUAAAUACUUAAAUAAUUCAAUAAAUAUUUAAUAUAACAAUUAAAAUUCUGGAAUGUUACAUCAUUCCCUCCUUACAAGGAUUCUGUCCCCAGAAUCACAAUUCAAACAAUUCAUUCGUCACAUUCUCCCUACUUACAAAGAUUCUGUCCCCAGAAUCGAAGACAUAAAUUAAACAAAUAACUCAGGGUAAUUCUUCAUCAUUUCAGCUUCGAGUUCCCACGUAGCCUCUUCGACAUUGUGGUUCCUCCAUAUUACCUUCACAGAAGGUAUCACUUUAUUUCUGAGCAAUUGUUCUUUCCUGUCAACUAUCUGGAUAGGAACCUCUUCAUAGGACAAGUCUUUCUCAAACUGCAAUGGUUCAUACUCGAUCACGUGCUUGUAAUCAGACUUAUAUGGUCGUAACACUGAAACGGAAAAAACAUUAUGAAUGUUUUGCAAUUCUGGAGGUAGAGCUACCUCGUAAGCCACCUCUCCAACUUUUCGCAGCACUUCGAAGGGUCCAAUAAAUCUCGGGCUUAAUUUUCCUACGUCGAAUGCACGAUCUUGUCUGUGUUGAUCAGCAUAUUUCUUUUGUCUGUCUUGAGCAGAUAUCAAUCUUGUUCUGAUGAGUUUGACAACCUCAGCAGUUUUGUAAGACCCCGAAUUUUAUGAAAUAAAUUAUUCAAUUUUUCUUAUAAUUAUUAUUUAGUAAAUGAUUAAAUUGAAAAAAAAAAGUUUAAGUUAAGGGUGAUAUAUGUAAAAUUUUCAAAAUACGCAAGUGGUUAUGAAAUACUCAUUUCUGUCGGGGAAUAUUCGUUUGGUCGUGGAAUAUUCUUGCUGUCGGGGAAUAUUCGUACGAUGGUGCAGUCAUUUGUGGGCCCCAUAACAGAAUAAUUGUCGGAUGAAGAAAAUGACAAGUUUGAGUUUUUAUAAAUAACAGUGUAGUAGUUACCGUUAACACUGUUGGAAUACCUGGUGGUUAAAAUACAGUAAUACGUGUGGUUGCACAGUAGAACACGGUAUUGUACAGUAUUUUUGAAUUAUUGAUUCUUACGUAAGAAGGCACUACUCAAUAAUUGUUACAGUAAUUACUGUUCAAUAUUUUAUUUUAUUGAUUCGAUAAUUGCUAUGUUGAUAUUUUAUAUUAUUAUUGUUUCAAUAAUUGUCAUUGCAUAGUAUUUCCCAUUAUCAAAUCAAUAAUUCAUAUUAUUUGAAUAAUAUUAUUAGAUAGCAUUAUUGGCAAUGUCUAGAAAGUUCUGUCAAGGAGAGGUUUGGUCACCUAAUUGCGCGCCAGUAAGGAGAAAUCCUUAUUGGAAAGCCCCCUCUUUCCUGGGAACCACCUGGUUGUCAUAAUUGUGAUUCUGUAAUAUUAUUUGUGAAUAAUUAAUUAUUGAUUUAUAUGAUAAGGAAAUAUUUAUUUGAUGCGGAUAUAAAUGAUGGAUUUAUUUAUGUGGUUAUAAAUGAAGGAAUUAAUGUUGAGGUGUUUUAUCAGUAUUUUGUCGGAUUGGAGGUAUUAGAAGAUCAAAUCGGUGUUCUUAAAGCUCUAUUGCGUGAGUUAUAAUUUUUAAUCUGGUCGUUGGAUCGUUGUGAUUUUUGGAUAUGUUAUACAUAUAUAAGUUGAGUAUAUGUCCACAAAUUUUGAACCAUUAAAAAUGAACGUAUGAAUUGUUAUGAAUUUUAAGAGUGACUGAUUCGGAAAUUAGGCUUAUAAAUGAUUUUUGCUGGAAAAUUAUAGAAUGAGUGGGCCCCACCCGUGGCUGGUGAAGAAAUGUGCUGAAUUUUAUUUCAAAUAUGGUGGGUGGCAAUAGUAGCAGGUAAAGCCAUCAGGUAGCAGGUCAAGUCUGCUACGGCGUGCUAACAUUUUCCUAUAAAUAGAGGACUAAGUUAGAAUUGAAAAUCACACCAGAAACAUAAGCUUUCUCUCUUUCUCUCUCUAUAUUAUCGAGCGUAUUCUUGUGAGUAUUUUGAUACUUUGAGUGUUGCUAGACGGUGCAAGCUCCUUCAGCACUAUAUCCGGUAUUCUAGUCAGAAGUACUGCUCUUUUGAGGUAAGGGAUAUUGUCGUUAUUAUGUAAGAGAUUUUAAGGGUUAUUAUGUUUCUUCAGUUUCGUAAUUUUUCUGACCUUCAAAAAUUCUGGAAAAUUUUAAAAUGAUAUUUUGAUGAGUUUUCUCGAUUGUGUCCAAAAAUGGCGAUUUUUGGAUGUAUAGAUUAGGAGUUAUGGAUUUUAUGAGAAAAGACUAUUUUAAAAGUAAACGCUUAUAACUCCUUGUGGUUAACUCCAAAAUUAGUGAAAUUUUUAUUGGGAGUACAUCUAUAUAACAUCAGUAUAUUCUGUAAAUUUCAGAAUUUUUGGACAAAAGUAAAAUUUAUGAUAAAUGUCUAAAUAUUUGGCAGUUUUGGCCAUGUGAAAAAUAGUAAAUGAAUUUUUUAAAUUCCAAGAAAAAUAUAUGUUCAAUAUGGGACUAUAUUUUGCUAAAUCCCAGAAAAGAAAUAUUUUUAGAACUGAUUUAGUAUUUUUCAUGAAAAUUAACUAGUUAUGAGUAAAUGAAUUAAAUAUGUUAUGUGAAGUAACAAAAUUGAAAAAUAGGAUUUUAUGGCUUGGGAAUACUAUAUAUGGUAUAUGCAAAUUUUUGAUGAUGUUGGUUAUUGGUGAUGAAAUCUUAUGAGUUUAGCAUUUUAGGAUGAUUAAAUGCAUUAAUUAGUAAAGUGUAAAUAAUUAAAAUAAAUUGUUUAUAUGUUCAAGAAAUGUUAUUCUUUCAAUAUCAUUAUACCGAAAUAUUGGUAUGAAUUUUAUUGUCGAAUUUCUAUUUUUUUCAUGUCGGGGUUACUAUUCAUGAGUUACUAUUCACGAGUAACUAUUCACGGAGUACUAUUCACGACAAAAUUGGUUUCUUUUUCUGACCAUGUUAUUGUUGAUUUAUGAAUCUUACUCUUUAAAUUAAAUACAUGUUUUGAUCAUAUUGUUUUUAUUAUCAUAUAUAACAUUUUUUAUAAUCCUGGUGAAGAAAUUUCUCUUUGACUUGAGUGUAAAGAUGGGUAGGUUAUUGGUAUGAUCGUGACUAUGGGUUCUCUUUGGCCAGUAGUGCAAAGAUGAAUUGUUGACUGGUAUGAUCAUGACCAUUGAAUUUAUAAUUGAAUAUCUUUAGCUUAAGUGCAAAGGUGAAUUGAUCAACAUGGUUAUGAUUAUUGUUUAUAUAAAUUCUGAAAUAAUUAUAUAUUUCUUUGAGAUAUUAAUAUCUUUGGCCCGUAGUGCAAAGAUGACAUGUUGUUGAAUAUCUUUGGCCUGUAGUGCAAAGAUGAAGUGUUGAUAUAUAUCUUUGGCCCGUCGUGCAAAGAUGACCUGUUGUUGAAUAUCUUUGGCCCGUAGUGCAAAGAUGACAUGUUGUUGAAUAUCUUUGGCAUGUAGUGCAAAGAUGAACUGUUAAUGAAUAUCUUUGGCCCGUAGUGCAAAGAUGAANNNNNNNNNNNNNNNNNNNNNNNNNNNNNNNNNNNNNNNNNNNNNNNNNNNNNNNNNNNNNNNNNNNNNNNNNNNNNNNNNNNNNNNNNNNNNNNNNNNNUAUUGUAUACGUCAUUUGAUAUUUAAUUUUGGUGAACCGAAUAGGGUGAGGUGAACCCAACUUUGGAAGGGUGUUUUGCCACUAUCAUACAAGAUGUCUAAUGACAUAUAUCCUCGUGUUAUCAUAAGAUAAGGUUGUGCACAUCCACUUGCUGAGUAUAUCUACGAGCACUACCUAUAUGAUCUUGGAGUUUGGUUGAAACAUAAUGUUCAAUCGCAGACGGUGGAGAUAGUUAUAUGUCAAGAGAAGACUCACCAUUGGAAGGAACAUGAUAGUAAUCUUCUCAUUUUUCUUUGGGGUCUAUUGGAUCAACCAAAGAUAAUUCUCGAGUCAUAUGAUAUCUAUCAUAACUUAGAUCCAUGGCCUCCUAUGUACGAAGGUUUCCUUGAGCACUUCCCAAAGAUUUUAAUUUCUAAAACAGUUUUAGAUUGUACCUUUAUGUAAGGUAUCACUGUGAGGUGUUGUCCAUAGUUGGGACAUGAGUCACAGUUGGUAUUAAAACUCACAGUAUAUGUGUUGUUGUAUUUUACACGAUAAUUGUAGUAAUAAAGUUGUAGUUAUUUUAUGUACCAUGUUUUUGGCGACUCAGAAUAGGUUGGAUGGAUUGGACCUAUUUUGGGGGCGUCACAAGUUUAUUAUACCAGUUCUGAUCCUAACAGUUGACGUUCACCGACUUCAUCCCAGCACAGUGGAGUUCUGCACCUCCUGCCAUACAAUGCUUCGUAAAGCGGCAUGCCGAUGCUAGCGUGGUAACUGUUAUUGUAGGCAAAUUCCACCAAUGGUAAUUGUUCAUCCCAGCUUCCUUUGAAAUCCAUGACGCAUGCUCUCAGCAUAUCUUCUAAUGUCUGAAUCGUUCGUUCCCUUUAGCCAUCUGUUUGCAGAUGAUAUGUCGUACUCAUUUGCAAUUGUGUUCCCAUACAUUCUUGUAGUCUCUUCCAAAAGUUUGAUGUGAACCUCAGAUCUCUAUCUGACACAAUCGACACUGGAACUCCAUGUCUCGUCACGAUUUCUUUAACAUAUAGUUUUGCUAGCUGAUCAAGAUUGAAUUUAAUCUUUAUUGGAAAAAAGUGUGCAGAUUUUGUCAAUCUGUCUACUAUCACCCAAAUCGCAUCGUAUCCUUUCUGAGUCGAUGGGAGACCUACCACAAAAUCCAUUGUGAUAUGUUUCCAUUUCCAUUCUGGUAUCUCUAACGAUUGAAGUAACCCGCUUGGUCUUUGAUGCUCGGCUUUGACUCUCUGACAUGUCAAGCACUUUGCAACGCAUUCUACAACGUUUCUUUUCAUAUUUGGCCACCAAAAAUGUCGCCUCAAAUCUUGAUACAUUUUCAUACUUCUUGGAUGAAUCGAAUAUCUCGAGCUAUGAGCUUCUGUCAAGAUGUCCUCUUUAAUAACUGGUACUGCUGGAACCCAGAUUUAUUCCUCGAAUCUCAGCAUUCCAUCAGUAUCAACCUUGUAUUUCAUUUCCUUUCCCUCGACCACACUUUCUCUUAUUUUUUUGCAUUCCUCAUCCUGCAGUUGAGCGUUCUUCACUUUGUCCACCAAAGUUUGACUAGUUUCCAUAUGGUAUAAUUUUUCAUCGGAUUCUUUUGGAAAUUUGAUUUCCAACUCUAACCUUGACAUUGCUGUAAUAAGCUUCUCCUUAUCAGUUAACAACAUCAACUUUUCCCUGCCUUUCCUACUCAAGGCAUCUGCAACCACUUUUGCUUUACCUGGAUGAUAAAAGAUCUCACAAUCGUAAUCCUUUAUCAAUUCCAUCCAUCUCCUUUGACGCAUGUUCAAGUCUUUCUGAGUGAAAAUGUACUUCAGACUCUUAUUGUCUGUGUAAAUCUCAUAUUUCUCUCCAUAGAGAUAGUGUCUCCAUAUUUUUAAAGCAAACACAACCGCCGCCAACUCUAAAUCAUGAGUUCGAUACCCUUUUUCGUAGUCCUUCAAUUGCCUUGAUGCAUACGCGAUGACUUUCCCGUUCUGCAUAAGGACACAUCCGAAUCCUUUGUGUGAAGCAUCACUGUACACCACAAAAUUUCCUAUAUUAUCUGUUAAUGACAACACAGAUGCCAUACUUAGCUUCUUUUUCAAUUCCUGGAAACUUCCUUCACACUUCUCCGUCCAAACAAAUUUUACAGAUUUCCUCAUCAAAUUUGUCAACGAAGUGGCAAUCUUGGAGAAAUCCUGAAUAAACCAUCUGUAAUACCCUGCCAAUCCCAAGAAACUUCUUACUUCUGAUGGAGUUCUUAGUUGUUCCCAAUUUAUCACAGCUUCGACCUUUGAUGGAUCCACUGAAAUUCCAUCCUUGUCAAUUACGUGCCCAAGAAAUUGUACACGUUCUAACCAGAAUUCACAUUUAGAGAAUUUCGUGUACAACUUUUCCUUUCUUAGCGUCUCCAAGGUUAGACAUAAGUGUUCCACGUGUUCUUCUUGAGUUCUAGAGUACAUAAGAAUAUCGUCGAUAAACACCACCACAAACUUGUCUAAAAAUGGUUUAAACUUCCUGUUCUUCAAAUCCAUGAACGUUGCAGGGGCGUUUGUCAAACCAAAAGACAUCACCAAAAACUCGUAAUGUCCAUACCGAGUUCGGAAUGCCGUCUUCGGUACAUCCUCCUUUCUUACCUUCAAUUGGUGAUACCCACUUCUCAAAUCUAUUUUAGAGAAAUAUCUGGCACUCUUUAAUUGAUCAAACAAGUCAUCUAUUCUCGGCAAUGGGUAUUUAUUCUUAAUAGUGACUUUGUUCAACUCCCUAUAAUCAAUGCAAAGACGCAUUGACCCGUCCUUCUUCUUUACGAAUAACAUUGGUGCCCCCCACGGUGACACACUCGGCUGAAUAUAUUUCUUGUCCAACAGCUCCUGCAGUUGUACCAUCAAUUCCUUCAUCUCUACCGGAGCCAUUCUGUACGGGGCUUUUGAUUCGGAGAGGUUCCUGGCGUUAAGUCGAUCACGAACUCAAUUUCUCUGUCAAGCGGAAGUCUUGGCAAAUCCUCCAAAAACACGUCCACAAAUUCCCUAACCACCGGUAUUUCUUCCCGUUUCGCACCUUUCUUCUGAGUAUCGACUAUGUAAGCUAAAUAACCCACAAAGCCUUGAGUCAACAACUUCUUGGCCUGCAUAAUCGUCAGACAUCUCAUUUGUCUAGGUAAUUUGCUUCCAUUGAAAACUACCUUUGACGGAGUCAUAAGGUUUACACAUUUCUUUUGGCAGUCAAUUACCGCUCCACAAUUGAACAACCAAUCCAUUCCCAAAAUAACAUCAAACUUUCCAAGCCUAAUCGGAAUUAAAUCUACCAUCAAAAUAUUUCCCUUAAUAUUCACCCUACAGUUCUUGUAUACGAACCUAACAGGAAUUACUUCCUUAUUCGCAAUAUCUAUGUUUCAAGGGAAAUUUAAUUCUUCACUAGGAAAUCCUAAUCUCAUAGCAAAUUCAUCAGAUAUAAAUGAGCAAGUAGCACCCGAAUCAAAUAAUACAUAAGCAUCAAUAUCAUUGAUUGGGAUAAUACCUGACACCACAUCCUUUGAUUGCAUAGCAUCUUGCACAGUCAUGUUAAAGGUUCUGGCUGUGGGUUUGUUGGUUGAUGCUGGCCCAGCAAUAGUCAGCGCACCUCCACUAGCAUUUCCCUUAUUUCCAUUUGCCUCACCAGAUCUCUUCUUAGGGCAUUCACGAGCAAAGUGAUCCUUGGACCCGCAAGUGUAGUAUAACUUCUUGGGUUGAUUGCAAUUUGGGGCGAUGUGACCCUCCUGGCCACAGUUAAAGCAUACACGUUUUCCCAUUAAGCAUACACCCUUGUGAAACUUCCCACAUGUAGCACAUGCUUCAAACUUCUUAUUCUGCUGGUUACCUUGUUGAUUCCCAGCACCCACAUUUCCAUUUCACUUUCUUUUCAAGUUAUUGUUACCAUUUCCACUACCACCUCCUCCAUUCUUAACCUCCACUUCAUUCUUCUUCUUUUUCUGUUCCUGAUUGAACUUGGUUACAGCCUCGCCUCCACCUUCAGCGAGAAUUGCCUUUUCUAUCACGGCUGUAAACGUCUUCAGCUGGAACAAGGAAACCCUACUAAACAACCAAGGCUUCAGUCCCUGUUCAAAUCCCUUUGCCUUAUGUUCAUCUGUGCUGACUUGGUAUGGCGCAAACCUCGCCAACUCGUUGAAUUUCGUGGCAUACUCCGACACCGUCAUCAUUCCCUAUUUCAAUUCUAAAAACUGUACAUCUAACUGGCUUUUCGAACUCUCUGGGAAAUAGGUCUCGAAGAAAAUCUCCUUAAACCUUUCCCAAGUCAUAAUUCCUGGUCCUUCCAGAGUUUUAUUGGCCUGCCACCAAUAACCAGCCUCUUCUUUCAACAUGAAUGUUGCAAAAGCAGUCUUCUGGUUAUCCUCUACCCUAGCAACAUCAAAAACCUUCUCAAUUUCCAUGAUCCAGGUUUGUGCUUCAACUGGAUUCAUGGAUCCACAGAAUUCUGGUGGUCUAACUGCCUUAAAGUCCUUAAACGUAGCACCUUGGUUUUGAGGUUGAUUUUGCGGUUGAUUCUGUAGUGUACCUGUCAACAACGUCACCAGCUGCUGAACAGGGUUAGCUUCAGCAUUAUCGUUGUUGGUUCCUUCGGUGGUUCUCUGACGGGGUGGUUGACGUCUUGGAGGCAUUUUCUGCUAAAAAUACACUCAUUAGAUUAUUACUCAACUUUUUCAAGUAAUUUCUAAUUAACUUGCCCCCAAAAAAGUAAUCACCACAUAACACAUAACACUUUGGAUAAAAGAAGAUAAUAACUUUUAUUCAUUCUUAAUUCUUUGAAAACAUCAUAACAAUAGCAUCACUGCUAUUUACAUUAUUUUCCUGAACUACUAAAGUUUCAGGACAUCAUCAUCAUAUCCACAAGUUACAUAACACUUGGGAUUUACAUAAUACUUAUCAUAACAUAAAUCAUAAAUCAAGUACACUUCCUACGAUGUCCUAUUAAGAUACUGUAAAGCCUUACGACGCUCUUCUUCCAUAAUUCGAAACAUGGUUCAAUGAUCUAGUAUGUACAAGGGUAGCGUCUCAAACUGAAUUGGGUAACCCAUGACCCGAUCCUGAGCUUGAUUGAUCGCGAUGUUGAAUACGUUAUCCAUUUCCUGCAUCUUCAUUCUCUUUGCUUGUGCGUAUCCCUCUAUUAUUUUGGCCCGUUGAUCAGCUUCCUCAUACGCGUCUUCGGCUCUUGCCCUUUUUGCAGACUCUUCUCUCAACUUGCUCUUUAACUCUGCAAUCUCUGCUCUCAUUUAGUCGUUCUCUUCUUCAGUGUGAACCAGUUUCUCUUUAACAUUGUUCAGUCAUUCUUCUCGAUCCUGGAUCUCGUCGUCCUUCUAUGCCAUUGAGGUUUGUUGUUCAGCUACUAUCUCAUGCAAUUCCUCAAUAGUAUCUUAAAGUUCCACGUUACGGUCAUGCACAUCAUCGUAUAUACAGCCAGCUAUUGAGUUAAAUGGAAUCCUUUCCUCCUCGUCCUCUUCAUCCGUCUGUGGCAGCUCCAAGGGAUCUUCCUCAUCCAUCUCUAUCUCAUCAUCCUCAUCAGGUACUCUCUCCUGCUCAACUACUGUGACCAACGGAACUGUUUCCCGUGGCCAUAAUUGUUCCCAAACUACAUGAAUAUCUCGUGGCUAUUAUUCCCUAAUUUGACUGGAUCCUCCUAUAUUAGACAUCCUGUCAACCAAAGUUUAAGUUUUAAUUACUAAUCAUUACUACUCGACACUCAUGAGCACAUAAGUUGUAAACACAUAAGCAAAUAAGUGUUUUAUUACUUCUUUCUUAAAACUCGAUAAGAGUUCAUCAUCACUAUCUUUUUUAAAGUUACUUCCUAAGGCUUUUCCCCCACCUAAGGUUCAUAACCUAAGGCUUUGAUACUAACUUGUGACACCCCCAAACCCAGGUACUUCAUUUCCACAGGAUUUGGUGUUCACUUAAUCAAACAUUCAUAUCUAACUACCAAAUCACAAUAAAACUGGAUAAUUAAACCUUCCCCCUUAAAGGGUUACAUAAAAAAAAUCUCCUAGGUUGUCUAACCUUUAAACACAAUCAUUCAAAUGCGGAAAAUAAAUAAUCUUUAUUACAACCAUUCCAUUAAAAACUGAUAAUAAAAUAUCAUCAAAUUACAAGUCUUCAAAACUUGUUCAUCUUUCCUUUUCCCUUACUGGUGCUAGGUACAUCAACCUUCUCAUCCUUAACUAUAAUAAUUAUAUAAGCAAGAGUGAGCAAACAAAGCUCACUUGAUACAAUAAUCAAUGAAAAACCUUUACAACAAAUGUAAAAUAAGAGACUCAAUAGAUUUAAACAAUUACGAUUUGUCAACAAUCUGAAGUAAAUAACUGAGGGUCCUAAGACCACGAACUAUGUCCAUAGUGAUAAGUAAUGUUUCAACUUAAACUUUAACAGUCAUAAGACUAUAGGGACUCCUCGUACUUAGGGGGAUCAACCCUUUGUACAAUGUAUUGUGCACAAACAUUUCAACGCUAAGCGUAAGUUACCCCCAAUAAUAGGGUUGUUCAUCUCAGUACUUAGAGUACAAGUCCGCACCAAAAUGAGUUUGGUUUGGAUACAUUUUAGGGUAAUUUAGAAUUCAACGAACAUCAACUAAGGAUUAGUUGAAUAAAACCAAUAACAUCGUACUAUAGAAUAAUCGUAAUUGAAUCAACAUGGUAAACCAAAAUCAUGCUUUAGGAAUAAUCUAAUAGCAUAUACUUUGAAUAACUAUAACAUGCCUUGCUUGAACAAUAUUAAGUCAAGGUUAAUUAGAAUUGAGUACUAAGCAUGCAUAGUAGUUUGAACGAUAAAAUUGUUCGACAUUAGUAUAAAUAGUUGUUCAUGCUAAACAACAAGUUAAAUACAAGAAUAACUUGUCAACAUCAAACCAAAGUUUAGAAAGCUUGCAUCAUUUAUAAGGUAAUCGAAUUGAAACAAUAAAUAGUUCAACAAGAUAAAGAAUUAGAAAACUUGCAUUGCUCGUAGGCUAAACCGAAUCAAUUCGGAUCACAAUACCUUAUAUGUACAUAUGUACAUAUAUAUAUAUAUAUGUCAUCAUGACAUAGUUAGUCACUACUACUUUACAAAUUUAACUAACUAUAUACAUAAUAUAGGUUUGAUUAUUUAAUCAUAUAAUCAAGUUAUAACACAAGUUAAUUGUUAAUAACAUACUUAUUCUUAGUAUAGAAAUACUAAUAUCAACAUUUUACAGUCCUACUAUCAUCACAUAACAAUUUCUUAACAUUUGAGUACAAAAAAAAUACACUGUCAGACCAUUCUGCUAACUCGCGCUGCGGCGCCACAGUUUAUACUGUGGUGCGGCGCUGCGGCGCAAGAAUAACGCUACAAGGCCGCGCUGUGGCGCGAAAGAUGAACUGAUGGGCCGCGCUGCGGCGCCAAACUGUAGUUUCGACUGACAGCUUCGGCAACAGUAUAAGAAAAAGCCAAUUUUGGCCUAAAAGUUCCUUUCUAACAGCCUAAUUCACAUGAAAUUCAUACAAAGACUUCAUGUAAACAUAAUUCAAAGAUUGUAAAUAUGUUUCUACUCAUAAAACAAUAUAAACAACAAAUUUAACACAUACAAUUUCACUAUUUUUGAUAAAAACUCACUUUUUGAUGUUUUUGACGAAAAUAAACACUGUGAUUUUGUUUUUCAACCAAAACAGUUAAUUCAAAGCAUUUUAUCAAUGUUUAUACAUACUCUAUCAAACUCAACAGUCAAUUUAUCAAUUAAACAACUAAUUACCCUUAAUUUUUACUUUAAACUAAACAAUAUAUAUAUACACAAACUCUCUGUAAAAAUAGCUUUUCUUCACAACCAUAUACAUAAUACAAAUUCAUGGACUAUUCUCCAUUAUAGCUUAAGAAAAUAGUUUAACAACACUAGAUUAUCAUAUAAAAUCACAUACAUAACAAAUAAUUUAUCCUUACACAAGGAUUUUACAUAGAAUUAGGGAAGAGAAAAAAGUAAACCUUUAAAACUAAAAAGAAUAAGAUAAUACCUUGAAGAAGAUGAUGAUGGCUAUUCCCUUUUUUUUUUUUAUUCUCAAGCUUUUCUUCUCACCAAUUCCCUAGCAUUUCUUCCUCUCUUCUUUUCUCUCUCACUUUUCUUCUCUUCUUCUUCUUCUUCUUCUUCUUCUUCUUCUUCUUCUUCUUCUUCCUCUGAGUUUUCUCUUUUCUUCCUAACUCUAACUACGUACUAACAAUGUAAUGUAUAUAGGAUAUAAUUUAUAUUAAUUAUAUAAUAUAAAUACAGAUAUAACUGAUAUCCGUUAUCUAAGUUUUGAAAACCAAAAGCCAUAAGGCUUGUUUGGCUAGUCACUAAAAAAAUAACCAAUUAAUCCUUAUGCCUUGUUUGGUAAAACACAAUUAGAAUAAAGACUUAAUAGGCAUUAGGCAUUGUUUGGCAAAACUAAAUUAAAACUCCUUUAACUUAUUUUAAUAACUACUUUAUAAAAGGUUAUUUGUCACACUUUUAAUAAAUUAAAUUAAUCUUAAUAACAAUAUAUUAAAUUUCUUUAACACAUAAAUCAAUACCACAAAAUUAUAAUUUUCUAUAUAUUAUAACUUUAUUUAACCAACUAACACAUCCUUUUAAUUACAAAAUUCAAAUAAAAAGAAUAAUAAUUCAAUUAAUCAAAACUCUCUAACUUAAUAAUUAAAUUAAAUUAGCAAAUAUAAUAAUUUUCUUAAUUAUUUAUUUAACAGAUAGUUAACCAAAUUGAAUCAAAUUUGAACAAUUACAAAUUCAACCAUAAACACAUCCAUUAAAUACUUAAAUAAUUCAAUAAAUAUUUAAUAUAACUAUUAAAAUUCUGGAAUGUUACAAUUAUGACCAGGGAUUAUUCGGUAUAAUCAUGACCAUUAAUGAUUACAUAAAUAUCCUUGGCCCGUAAUGCAGGGAUGAUUCGAUGAUGUGGUUUAUUUAUUAAGCUGAGUAUCAGCGAUAAAGUUGAUGAAAAACUUUUUAAAUCAUAGAAGAUAGUAGAUUUUAUGCUCUACUUGACUCUUCUAAUGGAUUGCUUAUUCCGCUGCAGUUGUUGAUCUAAAACUUGUUGUCUAUGGUAUUCUAUCAGUUGUUAUACUGUUGAAGGCUAAGGAUAAUUUAUUCUGCAUUAUCUUAGUCAUAAUAUUUCUUACUGGGCUAGUUGAGCUCACUCUUUUCUUUCAUUGUUCUCUUCANNNNNNNNNNNNNNNNNNNNNNNNNNNNNNNNNNNNNNNNNNNNNNNNNNNNNNNNNNNNNNNNNNNNNNNNNNNNNNNNNNNNNNNNNNNNNNNNNNNNUUUUGUCGUAUUUUACACGACUGUUGUAUAAUUAAGUUGUAUUUGAAUAUAUGUACCAUGUAUCUGGCGACCCAAGAUGGGUGAUGUAUACCUGUUUUGGGGGAGUCACAGCGUCGUCUCAACAUACAUUCUAAACAAUAAUGUCCCACAAGAACUAAGGAGUUGCAAUCCCGAGUGAUUACCACGCAAGGCAGAACACCGGAUAGAAUUUGAAGCUUGAAGACAUAGGACAUGGUUCCAUCUUCCUGACUUCGUACAACCUCUAAACCCAUGUCAUUGCGUAGCUCUCGACAACGGCAGUCCUAAACAUGUCUUAUAUACCUCAAUCGGAUGCUCGGAUUAAAGUUCUGUAAGUUCGAACGGAUAUCAUGUUGCACGCGUGCACGUACUUCGAGACAGUGAGACCCGCAGAGCCCGGGGCACCCCGGGCAGCAGCAGGUGCAUCUGCGGCUGCCGCAGGUACACCUGCGGCUGCCCCCUCUAUAAAUAGAGUGCUUGGGGUGGCCAUAUUUCAAGAAAAGAUGGCGAGGAAGCCCUGUCCAAUUUGCUCUGUAUACACCCUAUAUUGAGUGUUUUCUCAUUUUAAACACUUGUGAGCUCACAUAUAGCUAUUUUUUACCAGCGAGAGCCGAGUGUUCAUCCACUUAAAGCUAUAGAAGUCUUCUUUGGCAGUCCACUAUAAGCCUUCUUACACACUAUAAAGCCUUUCUCUUCAUCUUUGCGCACACUCUUCUUCACGUUGAGAGUCAUGUUAUGUGUGUAUGCCCGGACUUCGGUCUGUGGUUUUCAUUUCUAUUUGUAUAUAUAUACUUAUAUAUGUAUAUAUUUAUACAUAUGUUUGGAGCGUUUACUUGCUUAUAUAUAUAUAUAUAUAUAUAUAUAUAUAUAUAUAUAUAUAUAUAUACAUUUCUGUCAGGCCUGGAGUUUACUUUGUGUCAUUUCACUCCUUUAUUUACAUUUCGUCCUACCCGGAGUUUACUUCGUGGCGGUUGAUCAUUUUUACUAUUUUAUUUACAUUUAGUCCCGCCUGGAGUUUACUUCGUGGCGGUUUAUCGUAUUUAUUGCUUUAUUUACAUUUCUAAUCCCCCAUGGAGGUGCUUCGUAGUGGUUGAUCAUGUCUCUCUAUAUAUAUUUACCGCUUUUAUAUAUUUACAUUUUUGAUCCCCCAUGGAGGUGCUUCGUGGUGGUUGAUCAUGUAUGUAUAUAUAUAUUUACAGCUUUUAUAUAUAUAACUGCUUACUGCUUUCAUAUAAAUUGCGGCAUCAUGUGAGCCUAGGAAUCAUGGAUCACAGAUUAGGUCUACUAAAUCUAGAUUCGGUUCCCGUGAUGGACAUUUUCAGUUGUACGCAGCUUGUAAAUUAUUCAUGAUGUUUGAAUUUCCUUAGAUGGAUUUAAUGCCCAUGAGGAGUUCGGCACUGCUAUAUAUUAUUUUCUCGAAGAUGUUUCGCAUCUCAAAAAUAAAAGCAACCAAGCCGAACAUUUAAUAAUAAAAUAGAAGUAUCAAAGACCUCAAUUACUAUUGAGCACGGGGUUUGAAAAAACCUCUUUUACAAAAUCUCAUUGCUAUAUCUUGUUUAAAACUAAAUUUUUCAUACAAAUUCAAACCCUGUGUAUAUAGGUGCGAAUGAGGCAUAGCACUACUUCAAAAUAAAUUUCACAUUGAUCCACACACACACAUACACAUUAAUAGAAUAGUUUCUUGAAAAGUGGCGGUCACCGUGGUAACACGGAUGUCGGGGGGUGCCUAACACCUUCCCUCCGCAUAAUCAAGCCCCCGAACCCAAAUGAAUCUCGGUUUCACAGACCCGUUUAGCAGUUUCACAUCACUGGGUCAAUGUGCAAACUUUUUCUCGGUUACGUUGGUGCAACCAGUUAAAAACACCAACUGGCAACUCUUACAGUCAAAUCAUCGACAUAUACAUAUCGGACCUUUUUCACUUGUUUUUUCAAACAAAUCUCACCUAACAUGAGAACACCAAAGAACAAGAACAGAAAAGGGACAAAUAAAAAAUCCCGACGUCGACAGCAACUAUGGUUGAAAAGUUUUAUCAUUUACCAUAUGUUCUAAAUCUCUGUUUUAUUACUGACGAAGGCUAUUGAUAAUUUAAUUAUCUUUAGUCAUGAUAUUCUUUAUUGAGCUAGUUGUGCUCACCCUUUUGCUUCACAAUUCCUUUCAGGUAAUAAGAGUGUAGCUAGGUCGAGCGGGGGUAACAGGGGAAUAGAACGGUGGUCUAUAGCUGUUGAGGUUUCCCCUAAAAAGUAUGGAAAUAAUUUUAUUGAGAAUUUUAGAUAAAUGUGUCGUAUUGUAUACGUCAUUUAACCGUUGAUUUUGGUGAACCGAAUAGGGUGAGGUGAACUAACUUUGGAAGGGUGUUUUGUCAAUAUCAUACAAGAUGUCUAAUGACCUACGACUUCAUGUUAUCAUAAGACAGGGUUGUGCACAUCCACUUGCUGAUUAUAUCUAUGAGCACUAGCUAUAUAAUCUUAGAGUUUUGUUGAAAUAUAAUUCUCAACUGGAGAUAAUGGAGAUAAUUAUAUGUCAAGAGAAGACUCACCAUUGGAAAGAACAUGAUAGCAAUCUUCUCAUUUUUCUUUGGGGUCUAUUCGGUCAACUAAGGAUAAUUCUCGAGUCAUAUGAUAUAUAUUAUAACUUAGAUGCAUGGCCUCCCAUGUACGAAGGUUUCCUUGAGCAUUUUCUAGAGAUUUUAAUUUCUAAAACAGUUAUUGACUAUACCUUUAUGUAAGGUAUCAAUGUGAGGUGUUAUCUAAGUAAAGGGAUGAGAGUCACAGUUGGUAUUAAAACUCACAAUAUAUGUAUUGUCGUAUUUUGCACGACAAUUGUAAUAAAAAGUUAUAGUUUUUUUUUGUACCAUGUAUUUGGCAACCCAGAAUGGGUUGGGUGGAUUGGACCUAUUUUAGGGGGCGUCACAAUUUCUUUAUCUCAAAUGAUAUUCUUCAUUGUGGCUAAAAAAAUUCUUACCUUUUGGAAAAAUUAAUCCAUUUUUUCUAAGCAAUGCAUCUUUAAGUACUCUACCAUCUGUAGCCAACCCUUCCCAACCAGGCAACACAUAUAAAAAUUACAUCUUUGGUGAACAAACUCCUAAAACAUUUGUUGUAAUUUCACUUUUUCUGUUUCUGUACCUAGGCUUGUCCUCUAUGGGUAAGUUCAUUCUUAUGUGAGUCCCAUCCAAAGCCCCUAAACAAUUCUAUAAUAACAUAGACAUGGAUUACAAGAUAUACUUAAACAUAGGAGGUUGUGUUAAAAAUGUAUGUGUGUAUGUGUGCAAAUUGUACCUUGAAAUACUUCUACUUUUCAUCAGUUGAGUCAUCAGCAAUUGGUUUGAGAUUCUUAAAAAAUUCUCCUUGCAAUCUUAAAUCUUCAUUAACUACCUUAUGAAAAUGCCUACUUAUCGACUCCCCAGACCUUUCAAAGUUAAAUUUGAUAACACGAUUUUUUGAAUGGUGUCCCAGUAUAUACAAGAAUAUUACAACUUGUUCAAUUACAUCUAUGUAUUUAGUUGAACGUAAGUAACUUUUCGUCUUGAACAUAUGAAACUCAAUUUAGAAAGGUACUCAUAUUCAUCCUAAGUUGUUCAAUACAAUUAUUAUCACCUCCAUUGAUUAACUUAUCAAUGUAACGUGUCCUCCACAACUUAUAAAUAGAAUAUUGUUACUUGAAAGCUUUCCACCUAAUCAAACCCAUAAUUUGAAGAAAAAAAAACAAUUCACCAAUGUAAUCAUAUACAACCACGUUGUAAAUAGUAUAACAAUUCUCUUCUUCAUGAUAUUCUUCCUUGUAGCUAAAUUAAAUCGAGUCAUUAUUGCAUUUAGAGAGUCAAAAUAACUAAUUAUAACAUAAGCCAACUUCCAAACAUUAGUUUAUUAUAAAGUCACAUAAAAAGAAACACAAACAUAAAAGCAUGAGACGACAAGAAAUUCCCUAAAUACACACUUUCCCAGUGUAAAAAGUGUAUAAAUGGCAAGCAUCUAUAUGUUUAGCGUUCCUUUUAUUUCCUCUUAUGUCUGCCUAUUUAAAAAGUGUAUUAAUGUAUCUUUUGCAAGUUAGAAGUUGAAGUUCACCUUGUGUGGAGAGAGUAACAAAUGUACAAAAUCACAACGAACAAUACCCUCUCAAACAAGAAAACUUCAAAAGCAUAAAAUUCAUGUGCGUUAGCAGCUAAUAGAAGUAUAAGUUACUCAUCUAUUGAAACUUAUCUCCUUAAACAAAAUCUUACCUAAUCCUAGUGUUAAACCUAAAAAACAUGAAGCAGUGAGAUCAGUUAUCACAUUGAACUCAUCAUUCCAGUACCCCAAAAAAACUAAUUUCAUUUAUUCAUGGUCCAAAAACCAAUUUCAAGAUAGGAUUAAUCCAUUGAAUAAGUCACAUGGGGCGGUGUUUGUACUAUGCGCAUGAAAGUAGGAAUCAACACCAGUGUUGUCACUUGAAUGACUUUCAAGCCCAAUCCUUAUAUAAUGCAUACGUGCAACAUUACAAGUGGUUCUGGUUCAAUCAUCAAGUGUCACUACUCCAACAACUAAGACUUUCAAGCAAACAAAAAUAAUGAUCCCCAUAUCCCCCAUCCCCAAUCCAAAUUUACACAACUAAUAAAAUUCAGGAGUUUGUUGUACCAAGUAACUUACUACAAGAGCUUAUUUCAUAUUAAUCGAGCUUAUUUCAUAUUAAUUGAGCUUAUAAUCUGUCUAUAUCGUUCAGUACAUGUAAAUCACUAAAAUGUAAAUAGGGGUUUGCUCUAUAAUUCACUAAUUAUUGAAAACUAAAAAGUGAUUGUGAGGCUUUUGUUUGUUCCCUAUUCUAAUCUUCAUAAGGUCAAUACAUCAAACAUAUGGUGCACAUAUAUCCAAAAUCAAAAUUGAUUGAGCACCAAAUUCACUACAUAUAACCAAAAUCAGACUUGAUUAAGCACAAAUGAAUGAACAAAAUGAAGAAUUAAUUACAAAUAAAUAAACUGAUAUUAGAUGUCUUACCGAAUUAAAAGAGAACAGGAGAAGAGUAGAAGAAUAAAAAUUACCCUAAAAAAAGAAAAUCAAUUUGAGAGGAUAGAUGUAGGAGAUAUAGGAGAGAACAGAGAGGACAAAAUAGAGAAAGGAGAGAGAAGAGGGACAUGUACCUGUGAUGGAGGACAUGAGAGUCGAGCGAAGCUAUUCGGCGAUGGGAUCGAUCGAUCGACAUCGAAGAAGAUAAAGUCUAGUGAAAACACGAAUAAAGCUCGAUUGGAAUGAAAUAAACCCACAUAUUUAGAAAGUAAUGAAAAAUAACAUUUCAAAGUGACUAAC
rnacentral:lncRNA from 1 species